rnacentral:lncRNA from 1 species
UUUUUUUUUGUUUAAAAAUAAAAAUUCCAAAGGGCGCACACCGGGAGCUCCUUUGUGACGCUGCUUGCGUGAAGAGUCGAGGGUUCACAUAUACGUAGGACAACUGGGCCGGCCCAUUUGGCUUUCGCGAGAUGUAAAACGCGUAAAAAUAAACAGACGAGAACGAUAAAACGCUUCCGCUGGGAUUCGAACUAGUAACUUCAUGGUGUUGUGCGCGCUGGGCUAGCCAUAGCAGCCAACUAGAUCUUGUGCUAAAUGUGCAACGCCACAGAAAAAGAAACAGGCCAGAGGGAUAAAACUUAACAUUUUCUAAAUAUCCCAAAAAUUAAAGUUCCACUGAGGGAUCAAAACGAGCACCUCCUGAUAGGGAACCAGGUCGCAUGCCACUAUAAUUCCCGGGACUUUCUGUAUAAAAUUGCAGUCCGGUGCAUAUAAUGUAAGCUGCAACCAAUUUAAGCAUUUUUUAAAUUUCAAACAUGAUUUCUUUCGGAAAAUGUUAAUAUUAUUUGAAACAAGAACAUUUUUGAACAAUUUUUGAAAAACAAUAAGAAAAAUUGAAAACAUGAACAUUUUUUAAAAAAUUGCGAUUUUUUUCAACUCCUCCAAAAUGGAAAAAAAUAAAACACAACGAUUUAAAAAUAAAAAUAAAUUGAAGAAUGAUCAUUUUUCGCAAAUUGUGAACAAUUUUUUUGAAUGCUCAGAUUAUUUUAAAGUAUAUAAAAACCGGCCCAUUUGGAGCUAUUGAAUAGCAGGCGCGCAAAAAAAAUAUAGAGAAGUUCUGCCGGAGGGACUCAAACUCGCAACCUCAGUCUUGCUAACUGCUGGAACUUGCCAACCAAAUUAGUGACUUCAACUGAUAGUCUCAUGGCGCGAAACGUUAUGUAUCGAAGUUCUUUUGAAUAUUUGUGAAAAUUAUGCACUUUAGAUUUUGUAAUAUCCUUUGAAAUUUUCUUAAUGUAUGAUGAACAUUUUAGAUUAUACACAAUAAACAUUUUGGAAGAACUAUAAAUAUAUGUGUUGAACAGUUGUAAUAUACGUUGAACAUUUUCGAAUACACAUUAAAAAUUUGUGUAAUAUACCACUGAACAUAUUUCAAAAACAUAGGGACAAAUUUAUAUUCAUUGAGCAAUUUCUAAUAUACGAUGAACAUUUUAUAAUGCAUGAUUAACUCUUUUGUAAUAUACAGUAAACAUUCCUAAAUAUACAAUGAACAUUUUUGUAACAGGCAAUGAACUUUGUAUAAUAUAGGGAAAAAGAAACAGUAAAAAUAAAAAAAAUCAUAAAAAAGAAAAGAUUAUAAAUAUAAAUAUAAAAAGAAAGAGAAAAACUAAAAUAAAAAAUAACCAGAAAAAAAACCAGAAAAAGAACAAAUAACGAACGGAGCUGCUGCGGCGAACUGGGCCGGCCCACCCACAGGCGCUGCGGGCUUUUCCUCCCCAAAUCCCGGUCAUUUUUGCCACGUUAACAAUCCCUGUUUGGAAAAUGACCCGAAGGUUCGAUUUAGAUCGGGAUUGCAGAGUUCAGGAUGCAAUCGACCGGAAUUUUGAUUUGAGGGUUUGUUUCGCCCAACUUGUACCAGUUCAAGGUUUGAAAUGGACUUUUUCGGUAGGAAGCAGACCGGACGACGGGCCCUGAGCUGCGCGGUAGGUGUGGCCGUGUGGGGCUUAACACCGCGCGUGCGUACGUGUCGGGUGCUUUGCGUCAGGCGCAUUCAGCAAACCAAACGAAACGGAAACGAAACACGCACGGCAGCGCGAGCGAGCGAGCUAGCUAGCUAGCUACGUGUUCAUACGUGUAUCGAUCACUGGGUGGUCGGUGCGUUGUAUACCUGGUCGGCUAAAUUCUUACGUACGUCGUGGCAGCUCAACUGCCUAAACCUCCAUCCAUCCAGCACACCAGCGUAUGCUACUAAACUAUCUCUUUUCUCUUGGUCACCAAUUCAUCGUCCAAAUAUAGGAGCAAAAGCAACCGGGACGACUGAAUCAAAAUUAGCGACGACCAGACCGACAACAGCGUGCGAUGACGAACGAUCUAUCGAUCUCGCUCUCUGACAAAACAAAGUAUCGUGGCAAGAACAGCAACGAAUUACUGGAACGCGACGAACAGGCAACAACCCACGUGGUCGGGAAUCGCACGAACGGUGAGGAACGCGCGCACGCGGGCCCUCGAGCGCCCUCGGCCGCUAACCCCGUCUCGCGCCCCAGCUGAAGCACAGCAGUCGGUUGGCAUGGCACCAACGGUCGCGAGGCCGGGAGGAGGACGACCCCUCCGAUGGCGGGGGGCCAACCUCGGAUACGCCGUACAGCGACACGCCGGCGAGCCUGCGUCGUUCGUCCCAGAGCAUGCAUGGUCCUGGACCGGGACGACGCAGAGUAGGGGCCAGUUCUUUUGGGUAAUUCUCCCAGAAUUGACCCCCUUCCCAGCUUCUCUUAGAAUUGCCACUUGAUAUUUUUUUACAAUUCCUAGCUAAUUAGACUUUAACUAGCUAGGAAUUGUAAAAAAAGAUGAAGUGGCAAUUCUGGGGGAAGCUGGGAGGGGGUCAAUUCUGGGAGAAUUGCCCAAAAAACUGGCCCUAGGCUGGCUGGCUGGCUUGCCUCGAAGUUUCGUCCGGCCAGUUCGCAAGCUGGGUAGGUGGCGUUGCCUUGUGAGAACCUUGGUCUCUCCCAGCCGACGGCUCAAAACGGUGGUCAGAUUCAUGCCGUCAUUACCGGCUGCAUGCAUGGAUUUUUUUUUUGCGAGAAAAUUUUCGAUCUAUUCAUUUUCAAUCAUGGCAGUACAACGAAUACUAGAAAUAAUAAAAAUUAUAUCCAGAUCCAUAAACCACCUAGCGACGACUACCAGCACUAAAGCGAGCCGAAGGCGCGCCGCCGUCAUCGCCCCUCCAUUGCUGGAGUCGGGCACAACUUGUUGUAGUAGACAGUCGGGAAGUCGUCGUGCUAAGGCCCCGUAGGACCAGCGCACCAGAACAGCAACCGCCGCAGAUGAAGAAUAACGUAGAUCAGAAAGAUCCAAUCCGAAGACACGCGAACAUAGACGAAUAACGACGAGAUCCGAGCAAAUCCACCAAAGAUAGAUCCACCGGAGACACACCUCCACACGCCCACCGACGGUGCUAGACGCGCCGCCGGAACGGGGACUAGGCGGGGAGACCUUUAUUCCAUCUUCAGGGAGCCGCCGCCGUCUCGUCUUCCUGAGCAGAACACAAACCCUAGCAAAAUUGAAAGAAACGACUAAAAACAGAGCCCUCCCGCCGGCCCUUGCCAAGAUCCACCGCGCCCCCAUGGUCCUAGGGCCACCGGAAAGGAGGCGGAGCUGCGGCGGCGACGGCAGGAGGCAGAAACCCUAACUUUUUUGUGGAGGAAGGAGGAGGCGGCGGCUAGCUUUGGCUGCAUGCAUGGAUUUGACAGCCAUGCGGUGGUUGAGAGGGUUUUGCACCCUAGCUGGUGCUGGUGCAGGUGCCGCAAUUCCCUUCUGAAAAAACCCGUGGAAGGAAUCGAAGCCAGCAGAGUUCGAAAUCCACGGUAGUACUGUACCAAGGAAGAGUCAGAUACAUGCGGCUUACAACCGAGGAACAGGCUGGUAUGCUGAAAGUGACCCCCGCCGGCUCGUCAUAGAUCAACGGAUGAAAACUCAACUCGUUUCGAAUAGAAACAAGUAUAUUGGCGAGCAUGGCAUGUCUCUUUUGUCAAUUUUUAAACGUGCAGAAUACUGGCAUGAGUGUUGCAGGCUCACGCUUGGGUUGUCAUAAAGUCAAAGGCACCAUUAGAAACACGCGAAGCAGGAAGACGCUGGCUAGAGAUUUCCUGAAAAAAUAAUGUCCUUUCGGUUCAUAACAAGACGGGACUAAUUCUGUUUUUGACCUUUGGAGGGGGGACAACAACCGAUGCUAAUACUACCUCCUAAGUUGCGAAUAAGAAAAAGAAAUCCACCCAAAGUGGGACUUGCGUAUGGAUAUCUAGUCCGUCUGUCCGCGAGACAAUAGAUAACUAAGGCGAUGAUGAUUAGUAGGUCACCUGAGAGGAUGACCAACUACACUAGGACUAAGCUCGGCGGCUACUACGUCUCAUUUUCUAAGGAGGAGGGACUCUUUCGAUUUUUAAAGCUUGGUAUAACAAGGGCAUUUGGAGUGCCUCAUUCCUUUACUGUAUUUUUUUAAAGCUCCAACAGGCGGCUUACAAUCGAAGGGAAAGGGCGGCUAGUAUUUUUUUAUGUGAUUUUAUUUUCUAUUGUUUGUUUUGUGUCAUGUCUUUUCAGUGUACUGGUGUAUUAUUUCCCUCGAUAAUUAUUAGAUAUAAAAGCCAUUCCGUGUCUUUCUAAAAGAAAUAUAAUCAUUUCUCUUUAUUUAUUUUUUUAUAAAUAAUCCUACUUAUUUUAAAGUGAUAUAUAAAUUAUACCGAUGCAUAAAUGAACAAAACCACAAAUUUACUUAUCCAAAGGGCUAUUUCCUUUUUCUUCUUUGGGGCGGUGAUUUGCUGCGUAGAUCACGAGUCGUCAGUAUGUCCUGAUUUACAUCAAUGACUUUUUACCCGCUACUUCUAUAAGCUCAUAGGUUUUAACAAGGUUGCUCCAGUAAAUUGGAUGCCCAAAGUCAGAUAACAAGCUUUGCUCACAGUGUGCCGCCUACUGAUCCAGAACGAAGACCACACAAAUUUCUUCAAAUGACUUGUCUAUAAUUUCAUAUUCUUGUAAGGAACUUCUCGUAGGGACAUGCAAUAAAAGAGGGUCAAAAAUAAGAAUAUUCACAAGAUAUUCUAGUACCAUAGUGCAGGAAAAUAGGGAAUAUAUUAACGAAUAAACAUUUUUUGCAUCGAAAAAAGAUACUCCUAAAACCAGUGGCGAAAAGAUCAUGAACUGGCCAAACCGCCUCCCUUCUCCUUCGCGCAUUCCCCAUAAAUACCUUCUUCCUCCCCAUCUCCCCCUCCACCAUCACAAACCAGAGGCACAGACCCGCACCAGGCGCAUUCGCAUACCACCGCAGACAAACCCCAAGAAAUCACUAACCGCGCCUCCCGCCGCCAAAAUGCUGGCCGCCGCCGCCUCCGUGAAGUUCUCCCCGGCGUCCGCCGGUGCCAGUACCACCACCAUGUUGGCCUUCAAGCCUGUCCACCUCCCUGCCCUCCCCAACGCCGUCCCGCGUCCCCUCUCCCUCUCGGCGCGGCCUCUGUACCGCCAGGAGCCGUUCCUGGCGGCGGCCCGCAACGACCGUGCCGCGUCAACGGCGCCCCCUGCAGCCACCGCGGAUGGCGCACGGCCGGUGGAGACGGCGGCCGCGCCGGAGGCCAUGAAGAGCGCCAAGAUCGGGGUCUACUUCGCCACGUGGUGGGCGCUGAACGUGAUCUUCAACAUAUACAAUAAGAAGGUGCUGAAUGCGUUCCCGUACCCGUGGCUCACGUCGACCUUGUCCCUGGCAGCCGGCUCCGCCAUCAUGCUCGUGUCCUGGGCCACCAGGAUCGCCGAGGCGCCCCAGACGGACCUCGAUUUCUGGAAGGCUCUCUCUCCGGUGAGCGUCCUGCGCACUCAUGGCUUCUUGGCGCUCGCUGUUCUUGCCAAUCUCACCGGCCCGUACGUGUUCUCGAUGUGCUGAUGCGUGUGUGUUGGGAUUUUUUUUUAUUUUUGUGUCCGGGCAGGUGGCGAUUGCGCACACGAUCGGGCACGUGGCGGCGACGGUGAGCAUGGCGAAGGUGGCCGUGUCGUUCACGCACAUCAUCAAGAGCGCGGAGCCGGCGUUCAGCGUUUUCGUCUCAAGGUUCUUCCUCGGCGAGCACUUCCCGUUGCCGGUCUACUUCUCCCUCCUCCCGAUCAUAGGUGGAUGCGCUCUCGCGGCCGUCACCGAGCUCAAUUUCAACAUGAUUGGUGAGCAAUCUGCAGACUCCCAUUUUUGUUGAAUCUUGAAAUUACCUCCAGCGGAUACUCCUACAACAUAAGAAAUAUCGUCACUUUUGCUAGUAUAUACAACAGAUAUUUUUCAGUAGUACUCCAUUUCCGAAGAACCUGAACUGUCCACAAGUCCUGAGGUCUAUAAUUUAGCACGUAUAUAUUGUACCAAAGGCUUUAUCUUUGGCGUCAAAAUUGGACAACGUUGUACUUUUGGGUGCGACUUUAGUAUCGCUCGUUGAAAGUAUGCGGUUUAAUUAAUUCUGAUAGCUCAUAUGCUCAAUCAACUGUAGGAUUCAUGGGGGCGAUGAUCUCCAACCUGGCGUUCGUGUUCCGGAACAUAUUCUCCAAGAAGGGGAUGAAGGGCAAGUCGGUGAGCGGGAUGAACUACUAUGCCUGCCUCUCCAUGCUGUCCCUGGUGAUCCUCCUCCCUUUCGCCUUCGCCAUGGAGGGCCCCAAGGUGUGGGCUGCAGGCUGGCAGAAUGCAGUCGCCGAGAUCGGUCCCAACUUCGUCUGGUAAGCUCCAAAUCACGUGACUGCUUGCCAGUUCGCUGUCGUAAGUUUUGUUGAUGCUUAGCAAUUCUAAAUGCUUAAUGAACUUUGGCGACGAACUAUAGCAUAGCAGUACAGCAUUCAUACUUCAGAAUGAAUUGGCACAAGUUCAUUUACGAAAGACUGAGAUUUUGACAGUGUGUGUGAUAUUUCAGUUGGUUCAUGUGUCUAAAUAAAUGGAUUCCUGUGUGUGUUGGUAUGUACUGUAGGUGGGUGGCGGCGCAGAGCGUGUUCUACCACCUGUACAACCAGGUGUCGUACAUGUCGCUGGACGAGAUCUCGCCGCUGACAUUCAGCGUGGGCAACACCAUGAAGCGCAUCUCGGUCAUCGUCGCGUCCAUCAUCAUCUUCCGCACGCCGGUGCAGCCCGUCAACGCCCUCGGGGCGGCUAUCGCCAUCCUCGGAACCUUCAUCUACUCCCAGGUGACCCAUCUCACACGCCUCACUUACCUCACCACGUACGUAAGGAAGCAAGCAAACCAGAAUUUAACACUGAAACUUUUGUUGACCUCGUGUUGCAGGCAAAGCAGUAAGGCCCCGUUUGAUAGCUCUGCAUUUUCUAAGUAUUUUGUGAAUACUACAGUUUUUCUAAAUACUAUGGUUUUAAUUACUUUAAGCUGUUUGGUCUCCACAAAAAACUGUAGUAUUAAUACUACAGUAUUCCUCAAAAUGCAGUAUUUUCUCUGUCUAAUAAAAAGAACCCAGGACCUCUUUUUUUAAAACAGAGCAGGCGAAAAAACGAACACGUUUCUUCGUCCUCGUUCAUUCUCAUGCCACCGCCGCUCGCUCGUUGCUGGAGAUCGUCUCUCCCUCAGGUUGCCGUGGAUAGAUAAAGAGACGACCAUGGAAAAACGGCUAGUACGCUUAAUCAUCUGUUCCCUUCUCAAGGAGGCCCGUGGCAUGAAGCUGGCAGGCCUUGCUUUCUGAGGAAGAAACCUCCUGCUGCCUCAUGAAGAUUGCAUCACCGCGCCUCCUACUUCUCUUCGUGUGUCUGCUACGGUGCCGGCCAGCUGACGGCACUGCACGGUUUUUCUCAUCUUUGUAAGCUGCAGGACGAGCUUUGGGCAUGGUUGUUGACAGUUUGGCUGUGGACUUUGUGCAUAUGGGUGGCCUUUUGCAUGGCCGUUGGGUUUUGGGUAACAGGGUAAGCAAGUAGAAAACGGCUAGCUAGUUAUUAGGUGCGUCAAUAUAUACAACACUACCAAACAGCUCCAAAGUAUUCCCAAUACUUCAAAAUAAUGUGGUAUGUCAAAACUGUGGUAUCUUACACCUACAUGCUAAAAUGUUGUAGUUUUCAAUACUUUGGUUUUUUCAAUACUUUACUAUCAAACACAGCCUAAGGGAAAUCGACCAAACGAUAUCUCUUCCGACGAGAGCCGGCCCGGCGUUCGGACGUUAUAUGUUGUUGAGCAUAUCUGAUUGAGGACACUCCCUUGUAAUAUAUAUACAGUAUUAGGAAUCUCCUUCUUUUUUCCUUUUUUUCUAGGUUUAGCUGCGGGUGUCUCUGAAUUCUUCGUCUGUUGUUCCGUGACCAUGGUGCUGAUGAUGUAGAGAGGUGAAUGAAUCCGUCCAAAUAAAGUUGCCAGGAAUUUUCGCCCCCGAUCUCCAGCCUAGUUACGUGGUCCAAAACAAGUCGCGUGGUUGAGAAUGCAUCGGCCCAGAUUGUUUGCUUGCUGGCGAUGGAUACAGGGGCAUGGCGGCGUCGUGCAAUUUGCGAAGCCGAGAUCUCUGCGAUGGGUGCGACGUUGGAGCGUAGCUCCUUUCCCUUUGCUUGUUGCCUUGGCCCCCUCUCUCACUGCAGGUGCAGUUGGGUCACUAACAUGUGGGCCCAACAAGCAUCUGGCCCUUAUGUCAGUGACCCAACUGCACCUGCAAGUUAUGUCACUGAAGCUGCGUCCUUCUCGUUUGGGAGCUUGUGCUCGGUCCCCGGCGUUUCGGCGCGGCACAUGCCCCCCGUCGCAUAUAUUCUUUGGUUCAACGUCACCUUUUAGAGUGCUCAAAGGGGCGAUGGGUUUGGUCUUCGAUCCCGACGUUUCUUUCGGUGCUCUUUGGGAGUAGGAAACCUCCUUAUAUGGCGUAAUCUACAAUGCGAAGAGUAGGAAACCUCAUAUCGAUGAAACCUCCUUAUAUGGCGUAAUCUACAAUGCGAAGAGUAGGAAACCUCAUAUCGAUGAAAUAGCUUUCUAGGGGAGUCCAUCACUACAAGAAAUCAGUUGGAUUCAUCCCAUGACAGCACGGUUGGCGAUAUUUUUCAAAAGAGGGAUGGGGGUCUAAAGCAGGAAGUUGUAUUAAGAUGGGAAUCAUGUGUGAGGAUAUGUAGAAACUAUUCCGUUUUGAUUCAUGGGAAUGACUAAAUAAGAGACGGAGGAAAGUUAUGAUAGAAUUUCAAGAUGGGUUUCCUUCUUGAUUUCAAAUCCCCAUUCCCUAGCUCUAAUUACCCACAACUAGACACGUUGGGUAGGAAGAACCCUUCGCAAUUUCCCCAGCAGUCACUGAGAACAGCUACAUAUGCCAAAAAGCAUCAGCAAAGCUCAAAUUACCAUGCUCUAGAAACAUUUUAACACCAUGGAGUUGAUUGACAUUAUACGGAAUGAAAGAGGAUUCAAGCUACAAAACUUCACUUAGCCAAAACUCGCCUCUUGCUUAAAUGCAAGACACAGGAGUUUGGAUACAUGACAAGGUCUGAUUAAUUUAACUCCUAACAACGAACCCUUAACACAAGUAGUAAUACUUCGUGACCACCACCACUCCAGAUAGGUGAAAGCAGUCUAGAAAAGAGAUGUCCCCUUGCCCUUCUUGUCUCCGCCGAUCUCAAAAUGCUUGCACCUCUGCAUAGAUAGAGGAAUAAUAAAGAAUGAGCAAGCACAGCAAAAUAAAAAGAAAAAUGUUCAUUUUUCAAGAUAAAAGGAACAAACCUUGAUGGCACGCUGGGAGUAGUGCUUGCAGCUCUGGCAUUGCAGCUUCAGCACAAUCUUCUUGGUGGUUUUUGCCUGAAAAACGUCACAACAUUAGCAUUGCUCAGCUGCUUCUAAUCUUUAUCACACAAAUACACUACACAGGCACACCAUAAGCACCAUGGCGUUGAAUUGGUAGACAAAUCAGAUAAACCAUAUUGAACUAUAUAUAUCGUGUUGGCAGGUCGAUAGACAAUCACAAGCAAAGAUGCUGCCAUACCUUCUUGUGGAAAACAGGCUUGGUCUGACCACCAUAUCCCGACUGCUUCCUGUCAUAACGACGCUUUCCCUGGGCAGAUAGACUGUCCUUGCCCUUCUUGUACUGAGUGACCUUGUGAAGUGUGUGCUUCUUGCACUCCUUGUUUUUGCAGUAGGUCUUCUUGGUCUUCGGAACGUUCACCUAAAUAGCAUUUGCAACAAAACUAGUGUUCAGAUAGGUUUGGAUGAAAGCUGGAUACAUGUUUGGAUGGCAUUGCAAUAAUAAAAAAGAGCUCUAGAAACAAGUGCAGAAUGUUAAAAAAAAUACUAAGAAAACCUAUAGUACAAACUUCAAUUAGGUCCUCAGAAACAUGCUUAUGGUUGUCAUCAUAAGGAUAAUCAGGUCUGAAAGAUUUCAUGCCAUAGUAGGACCCCAAAAUUCAGUAUCAAAUAUUAAACAAUAAGAUUUGAAAUUGCAGCAUAAGCUACAUAAUAAGUUGAUAUAUCACUUGGCAAGAGAGAAGCAUCCCAAGUUAAGGUGAAACAUUAGAUGGAAUUAAUGUCAAAUGGUUAUCAGCUGAGGAAUGCGUGCCCAGUUUUACUGAUCAGGUUUCAGUAGUAUCAUGUAAUGUGAAGUUGCGUGAAGCACAGCCUUGACAAGGUCACUUCACAAGAUUACACAUUUAAAGAUGCAUGAAUACAAGCUAUAGUCCAUCUAAACGGAGGGAAGACCAAAUUAGAUUUGAUCCUGACACGAAGAUCGAUUGAUUCCAUCUCAAGCCAAGAGCGCGCCCGCCUGACAUAACCGAGGAACAUCUAAUACUUGGUAAUUAGGAACGUGAAGCAGUACAAAUCUCAUGCAAAUAUACAGUAAUUAAGAACUAAUGGUACAUGGUUCAGAGAUCUAUAACUCGUAAACUUGAUCAAAGAAACCCUAAAACUGAAGAACUAAUCGUUUAGUCCGCGUGAAUACACCAAAGCUUGAGUUUCGUAGGCUAGCGUCAACCCUACACGUCAAAGCACUCGAAGGGAACCACUCAUACAACACGGAAUCUAGGAUCUACGAACAGACCGCCACGGAAAACCCACGUAGCAAGCAAAGCAGGGAAAACAGCACGGAUUGGCACGGAUAUGACAAGAGAUUAAGCUUUCGGGGCGAUGGAGAGGAACGAAACGCGUACCAUUUUGACGGCCGGGGAGAUGGGGCUCCGGCGUGCUUCCCUUCCCUUUCUGGUGGAGGAGUUGCGGCAAGUGGCGGCGGGGAGGGAGAGGGGUGUGGUUUUGUGGCCCUCUGCUCGCGAGCUAGGGUUUGCGAGUCGCGAGACCGUCGCUUCCUUCAUGGGCCUGAAUGCCACUUUUAUGAUCAACCAUCCCUUCUUGGCCCACCACCAGCCCAGAAUGCGAGAUGGGCUGGGCUUGCUGGGAGUAUGACGAAUGGUUCAACUGUGUGAGCUACCGACUUUUUUCUUUGUUGAAUAUUUUGGAUUGCUUACGGUGUGAGCUACCGACUAGGAAAUACCCCUAAAAAAACAUGAAUUAGGAAAUUGAUGGAAUCAACUGGAAUUUGAAUUAUGCGGCAGUUGUUCCUCUCUCCGUCCCUCUCAGCUAUUUGUGUUACAACCGAUUGGUCGCAGUCGUCCAAAUCCUAGCCAAAUGAUAACAAAACUAUACAACGGCUAUAAGUACCAGUAGAAUCAGGUAUACCCGCUUAACGGGCCUAGUUUGGGCUUACAAGCCAUCGGGAAGCUUCUUGGGCCUUGAUGAUUUGGGUUGUAGUUCUGUAACUAUAGACAUUUGGCUCUUGUCGACAACCUCCGGUUCNNNNNNNNNNNNNNNNNNNNNNNNNNNNNNNNNNNNNNNNNNNNNNNNNNNNNNNNNNNNNNNNNNNNNNNNNNNNNNNNNNNNNNNNNNNNNNNNNNNNNNNNNNNNNNNNNNNNNNNNNNNNNNNNNNNNNNNNNNNNNNNNNNNNNNNNNNNNNNNNNNNNNNNNNNNNNNNNNNNNNNNNNNNNNNNNNNNNNNNNNNNNNNNNNNNAUGGCUUGUCCUCAAGCCGGAGCCCGAUGAUUUGUUUGCUUAAGUGACUAUAAGUCUUCCCACGUAGCUUCUACUAGAUAGGAGUCACUCCACUUGCUCAAACGUUGUGCCACAGUGCUUCGACCAGAUUCCUAACUCGAUGCUAAGGCAUCUUGGAAGGAACCUGCAGAUGAGCAGAGGAAGAGUGAAGUGUUUGUCACACCUUGCAUUCAGACUGAAUCACAUGUUUCAACAGAGAAACAUGGAAAGCCGAGUGAAUUUUAUUGCCUCGAGGUAACUCGAGCGAUAAGCUACUUCCCCAAUCUUCCCCAAACACAGAAGAUUGGACAUAGGGAUGUAGCUUCGGGAACACCAUAACACCAAUUUUAAACAGUCUCUGAGUUCUAUGAUUGUCUGCAAGGUGUUUCACCCUCUGUUGAGUUCUAAGCACAUGUUGCCUCACAUACUCAACCACUACUUGUUUGUCUUGAAGCCACUGUUAAAUGUCUACUUAGGCUACAUCAUCAGAAGCAUAUAUGCCAAAAUACACGGGGGGAUGGUUACACAAAGCUUCAAAAGGAGAUUUAUCAAAUAUAGAGUGCUACUUAGUGUUGUACCAGAACUCACACAUAGAAAGCCACUUGCUCCAUUUGGUGGGAUGAGCACUCAUAAAACACCUUAGAUAACACAUCACUUGAUGGUUGAACAUCUUUGUUUAACCAUAUGUAGCUGGGUGAUAUGUAAAACUCAUGUUAAGGUGAGCACCUGUGCUUUUAACUAGAGUUUCCUAAAAGGUACUGGUGAAAAUAGGGUAUGUGUAAGGGCAUAUUUAUCCCCAAGGUGUUUUGGUGAUUGAUGACAAUGCUUUUGCGGACUAAUCGUGUGCGUUGAGUUUUUCAGAGAUUCAUCCUUUGGCACGAGAUGAUUCCCUCCCCUCGGUGUUUUAUUCAAGACGGUGUAGCUCCUUCGUUUCUCUGUUGGUGGACUAGUUUCGUAGGAGUCACCGUACUAUCAAGAGGGGAUCCUCUUUGGUAAGGCUAGGGUGGAAUCAACACGUACACAUCCUUAUCACACCCGAUGUUCCUUUCCGCUUCAAUGGAGUUCUCCUUCCUCUCCUUGCUUGCCCUGACUGGUCCCAGCGGUAGUACCGCGGGCCAUAGCGGUAGUACCGCCGAAGCACAUCAAGCGGUAGUACUGCUCCUUCAGCGGUAGUACCGCUUGCUGACUUCCGUCGCAGUACCGCUGAGGCUCCGGGCUACUACCGCCUCGACUCGAGGGCUCGUUUUCUCGUGUCGGGUUGUGCAGCACUUGCUGCGGCAGUAGCGGCGGUAGUACCGCUCCCAAGCGGUAGUAUCGCCCUUACCACCGCGGUAGUACCGCUCUGGGUCCAGGACCCUGUUCCUCUCAUGUGCACGACAGUACCGCUAGGUGGGACGGUAGUACCGCUGGCUCAGCGGUAGUACCGCCCACCCAAGCGGUAGUACCGCUCUCUGCGGGGCUGCUUGAGGGGGUAACGGUUGGAUUGUUCCCCCCACUAUAUAAAGGGGUCUUCUUCCCUAAAGUUGACCUACCUCUUCCCCCAAAAGCUCCAUUAUUGCUCCAAGCUCCAUUUUCGCCCGAUCUCUCUCCCUAGCCAAUCAAACUUGUUGAUUUGCUCGGGAUAGGUUGAGAAGGCCCCGAUCUACACUUCCACCAAAAGAAAUUUGAUUCCCCCAUUAAUCCCUAGCGGAUCUUGUUACUCUUGGGUGUUUGAGCACCCUAGAUGGUUGAGGUCACCUCGGAGCCAUAGUCCAUUGUGGUGAAGCUUCGUGGUGUCAUUGGGAGCCUCCAAUUAAGUUGUGGAGAUAGCCCCAACCUUGUUUGUAAAGGUUUGGUCGCCGCCUUCAAGGGCACCAAUAGUGGAAUCACGGCAUCUCGCAUUGUGUGAGGGCGUGAGGAGAAUACGGUGGCCCUAGUGGCUUCUUGGGGAGCAUUGUGCCUCCACGCCGCUCUAACGGAAACGUACUUCCCCUCAAAAGGAAGGAACUUCGGUAACACAUCCUCGUCUCCAUCGGCUUCACUCUUGGUUAUCUCGUGCCUUUACUUGUGCAAGCUAUUUGUGUUGUAUCCCUUGCUUGCUUGUGCACUUGUUGUUGUUGCAUCAUAUAGGUUGUUCACCUAGUUGCAUAUUUAGACAACCUACUUUGAUGCAAAGUUUAAUUUGGUAAAGAAAAGCUAAAAAUUGUUAGUUGCCUACUCACCCCCCCCUCUAGUCAACUAUAUCGAUCCUUUCAAUUGGUAUCAGAGCCUCGUCUCUUUAUUAAGGACUUUGCCGUCUGAAGAGUAUGGUUGACACCGUAGACGGUGGGGAGGAGGAGCACUCCGGUGUGAAUCCGAUCUCGUCUAUGGGUGAUGGGGAAACCAUGGUGUCCCGUGAGGAAUUCAAUGUGGCCUUGGACACAUUGAAAACCUCCAUGACAACCACGGUUGAAAGCAUGUUUAAUAAAUUCUUAGAAGGACUUAAACUACCUACCUCGCCGUUGAAAGCGGGUGAUCCCACUAACAAGGUGACGGAUGCUAACUCCGGCAAGGGGGAAGCUAAUAGUGAGAAGGGUCCUUCUACUAGUGGUAGAAAUGGCACUGGCAUCUUUGCCCAUGUGGAACCUCCAACUUAUGGAGGACCGAUUCCCUCUACUCAUUUAAAUCAUGUCGGCCCUCCUCCUAAGAUUGUGAAAAAUGAGGAUUUUGAUUCUUGGGUGUAUCGCUUCAAGCUUCAUUUAAAUCAUGUGAAUACUAAUUUUUGGAGAAUCAUUGAAGAAGGUUUCUAUCCACAUGAUCGAAGCAACUUCACCCUAGAGAAGCAGUGGAUAAUCAAUUCAAUGAGAAUGCUCUCUUCAUCAUCCAAGAUGAUAUCCUCCCCGAAUAUCUCCCUCAUCUCCGACCCCAUGCCAUGGCCAAAGACGCAUGGCAAUGCGUUGUGUCUCUUUAUCGGGGAAGCGCAAGCAUUCAACGCUCCAACUAUGAAGUGGUGCAAGAUGAAGCCGGUGAGUUUGCAAUGAAAGAAGAUGAAGAACCUCGUGAGCUCUUUCGGAGAGUGACCAAACUCGCGGUUUCACUCCGAGAUCAUGGAAGCAAGGACACGGAUGACAAUUGGAUCAAGCGCAAGUUCCUAAAGGCUAUGAUGCCCUACAACAAGGCCAUAUCCUCCAUCAUUCGUCAAAGACCGGACUUCCACUCCAUGACCUCAAGUGAAGUGUUCGAUUAGUUCGUUGCAAUGAGCAUCUUGGACAAGACCACCGAUAACGCGGUGCUCCGCUCUCAAAGGACAAAGAAGCCCAACCUUGCCUUGAAGGCCAAGGUUAUUGUGGAAGAAGAGGAAGAAGAGGAAGAUGAGGAGAGCAACCCCGAAGAUACAAAAUAUGAUUAUCAUGAGCACAUGGCUCUUGCUUCAAGGCAAUUUUGGAGCAAGAAGAACUCAAGGCCCAAUUUCAACAAGAACAACUCAAGUGGCUUCAAGGGCAAGCAACGAGUAAGAACUUGUUACAACUGUGGCAAUGUGAGCCAUUUCAUUGCGGAUUGUCCUUACGAGAAGCGGGAAGACAAUGGUGGCAAGCUCAUCCGAAAAGACAAAGCCAAGUCCUUCCCCAACAAGAACAACUUCAGCAAGAAGACUCCUACUCGAGGUUUGGUGGUUCAAGAAGAAUACCGUGAGGAUGAUGAUGAUGAUGAUGAAGAUAGUGAAGCAAUGGCCAUGGCAUCCGUUGCCAUUGCCACAACUCCCCGGAUGUCUCUCUUUGAUUCACCCAACGAGAACAUCACUGCCAAGUGCCUCAUGGCUAAAGCCACCAACAAGGUAACCCCCAACAUCAAAACCACCAUCAUUACUAAUCCCUCUUUGGCCGAUGGCAUUGAUGAAAGUGAGGGGUCUAAUGAGGAAGUAAAUGAAUUUGAGUCUUUUAUGAGUAAGCUCAAGGGAAAAUCCAAGAAGCACUUUGUUGCUCUCUUGGAACAACUUGGUGAAGCCAAUGACAUGAUCGAGGCUCACGAAGAAACCAUCUCUAAGAUGGAAGGUCAUAGUCGUGACUAUGCCGAUGAGAUAUCGGAUCUCUCUAAUGCUCUUAAGGAAGAGCGUGGGCAUCGCUUGGCUCAUGAGGAGUCACACAAUGAUGACCAUGCCAAGUUAAAGAAAGAUCUUGAUCAUGCUCUUGUUGUGUCUCGUGUGCUAACUUCCGAGAAGGCUAAACUUGGGGUUGAUCAUGCUAGACUCAAGGAGGAGUUUGAUGCACUUGACAAGGCCCACAAGGUCUUGAAGGGUGCUCAUGCAAACCUCAAGGAGUCUCAUGCUCAACUCCAAGUUAAGCUAACCAAGGAAAAGGCCACCUUUCCUCAUAUGGUAUUAAUGGAUAAUGCAUAGGCCACUAACCCGUGUUGUGAGCAUGUGCAUCUUGUGGAGGAGAAUGCCAAAUUGAAGGAUCAACUUGAGAAAGGCCUUGUGACAUGCAUUCCAGGUGAGAAGAACCUCAACGACUUUUUGAGCAAUCAAAAGGAAGUUGUGGCCAAGGAAGGAAUUGGGUUCGCACCCAAGUCCAAGAACAAGAAGAAGAACGACAAGACCAAACGACCUCCUCCUCUCAAGCAAACCUUUGUGAAAGAGGGAGAGGGUGCUCCUAAGGAGAAGAAGAACAAUGUGAAGGGUGUUUAUGUCAAAAAGGGCAAAACCACCUCCUCCAACAACAAAGCUGGCGACUUUAACCCUUCUUAUGUGUUGUGUCGUGCUAGUGAUGGGCAUGUUUAUGCUAAAUUUGUUGAUUCUCCUUAUGAGUACAUUGAAUGGUCUAUUUGGGUUCCUAAGACCCUUGUUACUAACUUCAAAGGACCCAUUACUAAAUGGGUACCUAAAACCAAGCAUUGAUCUCUUAUAGGUGUUUGCUUCCGGUGGGGGAUCAUGGUUGCUCGAUAGUGGAGCAACAAAUCAUAUGACCGGGAGCAAGGACUUGGUGGUGGACGUGCAAAAGAUCCCAUCUAUGCCCACCAAUGUCAAGUGGGGUGAUGCCUCGUCUUCUAAGGUAUUGGGUCUUGGCAAGGUUGUCAUUUCUCAUGAUCUAAUGAUCGAGAAAGUCAUGCUUGUUGAGUCCCUUGCAUACAAUUUACUUUCCGUUCGUCAACUUGCGCUCAUGGGUUUUGCCACCUUCUUUGACAUUGAUACCGUGGCCCUCUUGUGGAGCAAGACUCUUAAAGUAGCCUUUGUUGGGCAUGUCGAGAACGGUCUCUGUGUGAUUAAUUUUUUGGAGCGACCCACUAAGACCGCGACAUGCCUAAUGGCUAAAGUUGAUGUGGGAUGGCUUUGGCAUCGCCGUUUAGCCCACGUCAAUAUGAGAUCUUUGCAAAGUCUUCUCAAGGGGGACCAUGUCCGUGGACUAACAAAUGUUAGUUUUGCCAAAGAUCGUGCUUGCAGUGCGUGUAUCGUAGGAAAACUUCAUGGGAAGGCUCACCAUCCCACGACUAUCAUCUACUCGAAGAGACCCCUGGAGCUCCUUCACAUGGACCUCUUUGGGCCUCCAUCCUUUGAUAGUCUUGGGGGUAGAAAGUAUUGCUUGGUGAUUGUGGAUGAUUAUUCAAGAUACACUUGGGUAUAUUUCUUCAAGAGGAAGAGUGAAACUCAGCAAACCGUCAUCGACUUUGCAAAUGAAGCUCAACGUCAACAUGAUGCAAAGAUCUUGACAAUAAGAAGUGACAACGGCACCAAAUUCAAGAACUACACCUUGGAUGAGUUUCUUAGUGAUGAGGGGAUCAAGCAUCAGUAUGCUGCUCCCUAUACCCCUCAACAAAAUGGUGUCGCGGAGAGGAAGAACCGGACGUUGAUGGAUGCGGCAAGGACCAUGAUGGCGGAGUUCAAGUCUCCUUACAACUUUUGGGCUGAAGCCAUCAACACAGCAUGUCAUGCAUCAAAUUGGCUCUAUCUCCGCAAAGGCUUGAACAAGACUCCUUAUGAAAUACUUACUGGUAACAAGCCAAACCUCAAGUAAUUCCGGGUAUUCGGGUGUAAGUGUUUCAUUCUCAAGAAAGGUGUUCGUUUGUCUAAAUUUGAGGCUAGAGCUUAUGAAGGCAUAUUUGUUGGUUAUGCUACAAACUCUCAUGCUUACCGUGUCCUCAACAAGUCCACCGGACUCAUUGAGGAGACGUGUAACGUGGAGUUUGACGAAAAUAAAGGCUCCCAAGUGGAGCAAAGUGGUACUUGUGAUGUAGGUGAUGAAAUUCCUCCCCAAGCCAUAAGAAGAAUGGGUGUGGGUCUUAUCCUACCCAUUGAGGAACCCCUUGUGGCCGAAGGAGAAGGACAAUGCUCCACUCAAGUGGAGCCAUCACCUCCUCAAGACCCACACGCUUCCAAAGAACAAAGUGAAGGCCCUCAACCUUGUGAACAAGACCAAGGGCAAGAUCAACCUCAAGAUGGUGGUGAACCACCAAAUGAUGCCCAAGGUCAAGUUCUCCCCCUUGAGCAAGUUCAAGAUCAAGAGCAAGCUCAAGAUCUAGAACAAGCUCAAGACGGCGCUCAAGAUAAUCAAGUUAACCCUCCUCCUUCCACAUUCGAGGAGUAAUUAGAGCGUCGUGCCGCGAAGAUUGCUUCCAAGCUCACCACCAAAGGUCAUCUCAUGGAGAAUGUGGUUGGAAGCCUAAGAAAGGGGGUAAGCACUCGUAGACAAUUAGCAAACUAUUGUGAACAUCACGCAUUUGUCUCUUGUGUUGAACCCCAAAAGGUCUAUGAGGCGCUCGAAGAUCCGGGUUGGCUCAAUGCCAUGCAUGAAGAACUCAACAACUUCAAGUACAACAAGGUGUGGAGAUUGGUGCCAAGGCCGCCGGGGGACCACAACGUCAUUGGAACCAAGUGGAUAUUCAAGAACAAGCAAGAUUCUCACGGGAACAUCAUUCGCAACAAGGCAAUAUUGGUAGCACAAGGCUACUCCCAAGUCGAGGGUAUCGAUUACGGUGAAACUUGCUCGCCUUGAAUCCAUUCAUUUGUUGAUUGCUUAUGCUUCCCAUCACAACUUUAAGUUACAACAAAUGGAUGUGAAAAGUGCUUUUCUUAAUGGUCCUAUUAAUGAGUUGGUCUAUGUCAAGCAACCCCCCGGGUUCGAGGAUCCCUACUUCCCGGAUUAUGUGUAUCAACUCGAUAAGGCACUCUAUGGCCUUAAACAAGCCCCACGUGUGUGGUAUGACCACCUUACCGAGUUGUUACAAGAUCGUGGAUUUGAGGUCGGGCAAAUCGAUCCCACUCUUUUUACUAAGAAGGUCAAAGGGGAGUUGUUUGUAUGCCAACUAUAUGUUGAUGAUAUUAUCUUUGGUUCCCCUAACAAAGCUUUCAAUGAGGAAUUUUCUGCUCUCAUGACCUCUAAGUUCAAGAUGUCAUCGAUGCGAGAGUUGAAGUUCUUCCUCGGUUUCGACAUCAAGCAAAGAAGAGAAGGUACUUUCAUCAAUCAAGCCAAAUACACUCAAGACAUGCUAAAAAGAUUCAAGCUAAGUGAUGUCAAGCCGGCUUCCACUCCAAUGCCCACCAAGUGCGAACUUGACAUUGAUCCCAAUAGUAAAGCGGUGGAUCAAAAGGUAUAUCGCUCCAUGAUUGGCUCCUUGCUUUACCUUUGUGCAUCUAGACCGGAUAUCAUGUUGAGUGUGGGAAUAUGUGCACGGUUUCAAGCCGCACCGAAGGAAAGCCACUAUGUGGCGGUCAAGCGAAUCUUUCAAUAUUUGGCUCAUACCCCAAGCUUUGGCUUAUGGUACCCAACAGGAGCAAACUUCAAGCUUGAAGGAUAUACGGAUUCCGAUUGGGCGGGAGACAAAGUGGAUAGGAAGUCCACUUCCGGAGGGUGCCAAUUUCUUGGUUGCUCUUUGGUGAGUUGGUCUUCCAAGAAGCAAAGUUGUGUGUCUCUCUCGUCCACCGAAGCAGAAUAUGUGGCGGCCGGUAGUUGUUGUGCACAACUCUUAUGGAUGAGGCAAACUUUAAAGGAGUACGGUGUCAUUUGUGACAAAGUGCCUCUUUGGUGUGAUAAUGAAAGUGCCAUCAAGAUUUCUCUCAACCCGGUGCAACAUUUCAAGACGAAGCAUAUUGAGAUUCGGUAUCACUUCAUCCAGGAUCACAUUAGGCGAGGGGAGAUCGAGCUCAAGUAUGUCAACACUAAUGAUAACCUUGCAGAUAUUUUCACCAAGCCCUUGGAUGAAGCAAGAUUUCGCGAGUUAAGGCAUGAGCUAAAUAUCAUUGAUUCGAGCAAUGUAUCUUGAACCCAUGCACAUCCCACCACAUUCAACGUGUUGUCUAGUUUAGGUGUAGGCAUGGACAUAGGGGGAGUGUUGUUCUCUCAAUGAACUCUCCCUCCCCCCAUUAUGCAUAAAUUGAUCACGUCUUUCACUUUAACCAUCUUCGAUGGUACUUGUGCUUCAAGAACGAGUUUUGGUCAUGGGCCCAAGGUUAAAAUCUUCGCGGUGCCAUACCUCUUGACUCAAACAUAGGUGGCCUCGGCCACCGCCCUCUCUUGAAGGGGUGUGUCUUGGCCCCUUGCUAGUGUGUUUGUUGCCUAGUCGUUUUUGCCGUUGCUUUCUCUCUUUUUGAGCUUAGUCGUUAUUGUCUAGUUGCCGUGGUGUUCUAGGCGGUACUACCGCUGGUGGUGCGCGGUACUACCGCUUGUAAGCGGCACUACCGCCCACCAGUGCGGUACUACCGCUGCGAAGCGGGAUCAGGGGGUUAUAUCGGGGCAGGGGGAGGUUUCUCUCCCCCAUACCCAUUCACUUCGCCCCCUUGCUCCUCUUCGUCUCUCUAGCACCGUCUCGCCGCGGGAGGGCUCCGGCGGAUCUUCUUCUCCGGGGCGUCCCUCUCCAUUUCCUUCGGUGGAGUCGAUCCUCACCUCAUCCUCUUGCCAUGGAUGCCGGUAUUGCCCCCGUUCCCUCUCUCUUUUUGUCUAGAUUUCAGAUCUAGAAUCUUAGGGGCAAUAGUGGUUGCAUCUCUAGAGUUUUGGCUAAAUCUAGGCUUGAGUAGGAUGGAGAAGGCAACUAGGAGCCUUGGAUUAGCGUUUGGUAGGAAUAUUUUUGAAUUUGGUAGGUCGGUAGUGCCGGAUCUGACCACGGCAGUAGGAAACCGCUGUUUCCCCGCUUCGAGUGGUACUACCGCUCUCAUUGGAGCGGUACUACCGCUUGGAGCGGUACUGCCGCCUCCAGGUCGCGGUACUACCACUGCCUGCCAAAUUCCAUCAUGUCUCUACCAUUCAUUGAUCCUUUUUGUCGUGUUUGGUGGCUUAUGCUCGUUCUUUAUGGUUGUUUUGCAUGUUCUUGUGUUUGGUUCCAGGUGAUGAACAUCCCGAGCAUCUUGCUCGCCGUGUCAACCCCGGUCGUGCCACGUCGAAGCGUUACCGCACAUCUGAGUCAGCAGGAGGUUCCUCUAGUGCUCCACCUCCACUUCAACUCAAGAAGAAGUCUGUCGUCAAGCCGAAGCCAAAGGGCAAAACUGUGCCUCAAAUGAAUGCCAAGGAGUUCUGGGCAAGGCGUCACCGCAACCCUUAUGUGGAAGACCAAGAACCCACUUUGGUCAAUCGUCCGUUCAGGAACCGGUUUCAGUUUGCCAUAUUCUUUGAUGUGCUCAAGGCCAAGAAGAAUCUCUAUGUUUAUGUGCUCCAUCAACACAGACUAUAUGGAGAAGGAUCCUGCAUACUUUGGUGAAGCUCUUCAGGUGUGCACUCAGCUGAACAUUCUCAGAAUCAUGCAAUUCAACAAGGACUAUGAUGCAGAUAUUGUGGCUCAAUUCUAUGCCACUGUCCAUCUAGGGACUGAUGAGGAUAGGACUCUGACUUGGAUGACCAAUCGCAAGUUGCUUUCUGUCAAGUGGAAGGCAUUCAUGGAGUUACUUGGGGUGGAAAAUCAGGGGCUUGCGUCUCCUGUCGGCUUUCGCCCUCACCGCAACACAACCUCCACUCACAAGCAAGAUCUCUGGCCCUACUGCACGCUGAAGAUCAACCCUGAUACUAAGAAGGAAACUUAUGAGCUGCCUGCCUUUCUGGACAUUCUUCACCGUGUCUUCCGUGAGACUCUUUUCCCUCGCAUCGGGAAUCUGGAUAUGGUUCACUCUUAUCUCGUGGACAUGCUUCUCUUCUGCCAGCAUGAGAAGGAAGCAAACACUGGCGAGUCCCUGGACAUUUCUCAUGUUAUGUGGUCUGAGCUCUUAUCUGCUAUCUUUGAGCGCAAGUGCCCGAUUUAUGGUCCGUUCAUCAUGCUGCUUAUUGAGAAGGCCUGGAGUCAGGUCUAUCCCAAGGUUAUGCUAGAGACGGGAGAGUUGGUGUCUCAUGAGAUCAAGCGUCUAAGGAAGAAGGACAACUGGGGCACUCAUGUCCCUAAAUCUAGGGGUACAUCGUCUGCUGCUGCCAUGGAGAUCGAGGAGGAGGCUGAGGCUAAGGAUGAUGAUGACUAUGAGCCUUCUGGGGCAGAGCCCUCUUGGGCAAAGAAGCUCAAGCUCAAGAUGAAGAAGAUGUUCUGCAUGGAGUCUCACAGUCAGUACAUGACUCAUGUGGCUGAGAAGAAGGCCCGGGGAUGUCACAAGGAGCUCAUGCGUCAGUUGGGUGCCACCGUUACCAGUGGAUCUGAGGACCAGCUUACUGAGGAGGAGGAGUGGAUUCAGCAGCACUGCCCGUGGACAGAUUGUGAUGCUGAGCAGUUCCCGACUGACGACGGCGAUGAAGACGAUCCCGCUGGGAUCUGAUGUUCGCGACCCUCGCUUGCUAUCACCUGGAGCCGUAGCAACACUCUCUCUCUUUUUGGUGUCUCGAUGCCAAAGGGGGAGAGAGUUUAGGGAUUUGUGUCGUUGUCUUUGUCUGUUUCGCGAGUGUGUCUUCUUUGUGGUGUUUUCUCGCCGUUUGCUUUGCUUGGUUUUGUGUCAGUGAGACCUAAGUUCCAGACAUAUGGUGUGAGACAUAUGCUACCUUAUCUUUAGAUUAUCAUUAUCUAUGUCUAUCUAGUCCUUCGGUAUCUUAUGAGUUGCAUGCUUAUCCUGUUAUAUACUUUGCUCUCAUAUUCCUGCUUAGGCUGUUGGUCUCUAAAAUGUAGGGGGAGUGUUGAUCCUAGUAUGUGUGCCGUGCAGUCCAAAGCACUUAUCUAGAUAGCACACAUCUAAGGGGAGCCCAUCUACAUUUUUAGAGUUAUGGGGUUUGCGCAUGUCCUAUGUCUUUUCCCGUUUGUGCAAAUCCCAUAUUGUCAUCAAUCCACCAAAAGGGGGAGAUUGUAAGGGUAUAUUUAUCCCCAAGGUGUUUUGGUGAUUGAUGACAAUGCUUUUGCGGACUAAUCGUGUGCGUUGAGUUUUUCAGAGAUUCAUCCUUUGGCACGAGACGAUUCCCUCCCCUCGGUGUUUUAUUCAAGACGGUGUAGCUCCUUCGUUUCUCUGUUGGUGGACUAGUUUCGUAGGAGUCACCGUACUAUCAAGAGGGGAUCCGCUUUGGUAAGGCUAGGGUGGAAUCAACACGUACACAUCCUUAUCACACCCGCUGUUCCUUUCCGCUUCAAUGGAGUUCUCCUUCCUCUCCUUGCUUGCCCUAACCGGUCCCAGCGAUAGUACCGCGGGCCACAGCGGUAGUACCGCCGAAGCACAUCAAGCGGUAGUACCGCUCCUUCAGCGGUAGUACCGCUUGCUGACUUCCGCCGCAGUACCGCUGAGGCUCCGGGCUACUACCGCCUCGACUCGAGGGCUCGUUUUCUCGUGUUGGGUUGUGCGGCACUUGCUGCGGUAGUAGCAGCGGUAGUACCGCUCCCAAGCGAUAGUAUCGCCCUUACCACCGUGAUAGUACCGCUCUGGGUCCAGGACCCUGCUCCUCUCAUGUGCGCGACAGUACCGCCCACCCAAGCGGUAGUACCGCUCUUUGCGGGGCUGCUUGGGGGGGGGGGUAACGGUUGGAUUGUUCCCCCCCACUAUAUAAAGGGGUCUUCUUCCCUAAAGUUGACCUACCUCUUCACCCAAAAGCUCCAUUGUUGCUCCAAGCUCCAUUUUCGCCCGAUCUCUCUCCCUAGCCAAUCAGACUUGUUGAUUUGCUCGGGAUAGGUUGAGAAGGCCCCGAUCUACACUUCCACCAAGAGAAAUUUGAUUCCCCCACUAAUCCCUAGCGGAUCUUGUUACUCUUGGGUGUUUGAGCACCCUAGACGGUUGAGGUCACCUCGGAGCCAUAGUCCAUUGUGGUGAAGCUUCGUGGUGUCGUUGGGAGCCUCCAAUUAAGUUGCGGAGAUAGCCCCAACCUUGUUUGUAAAGGUUCGGUCGCCGUCUUCAAGGGCACCAAUAGUGGAAUCACGACAUCUCGCAUUGUGCGAGGGCGUGAGGAGAAUACGGUGGCCCUAGUGGCUUCUUGGGGAGCAUUGUGCCUCCACACCGCUCUAAUGGAGACGUACUUCCCCUCAAAAGGAAGGAACUUCGGUAACACAUCCUCGUCUCCAUCGGCUCCACUCUUAGUUAUCUCGUGCCUUUACUUGUGCAAGCUAUUUGUGUUGUAUCCCUUGCUUGCUUGUGCACUUAUUGUUGUUGCAUCAUAUAGGUUGUUCACCUAGUUGCAUAUUUAGACAACCUACUUUGAUGCAAAGUUUAAUUUGGUAAAGAAAAGCUAAAAAUUGUUAGUUGCCUAUUCACCCCCCUCUAGUCAACUAUAUCUAUCCUUUGAGUAUGUGUCUGACACAAUCAAAUCAGGCAUAUCAUGUAACUUGUAAACAUUAUCUAAGAAAACUUCGACAAUCUUUUGAGCAGUGUAAGGAUGCUUCAGAGCCAUGAAAUGACCAUAUUUUGCAAACUUGUCAAUAACAAACAUAAUAAAAUCCACCGUGACAGUAUCCCAGACUAUUUUGGGCAUAGGAAGAGGGGAUAGUAGUCAUGGAUAGUUAACUCUUUCAGGUUUAGCCUGCUAAAAAGUUACACAGGGUUGUAAUUUAUUAUUGAUAAAGCUUUUCAUACCAUACCAUCUAAACAAGGGAUCAAUUAUGUUACAGGUAACAUGGAAUCCAGAAUGACCUCCAAUAGAGCUAUCAUGAAAGGCAAAAAAAUUGUGGUGAAGUUCAGGAUUGUUGCCAACCAAAAUACAAUUUCAUAUUUAAUCAGGCCAUUGAGCAGUUGAUAGUUAGGCUUAGCAUCAAGCUAAACAGUUAAUUUCUACAAUACUAUCCACAAUCUCUCCUAUCCACACACGCUAGGCUCUAGAAAUAUGAAAUGCUUGAGGAACUUUGGGUCUCCUUAACAAUACAUCAACUGCUGAAUUUUUAGUACCUUUUUUAUGACAGUAUGAUAGUUGAGCCCCAUAAGUUUGGCAAGUGCCAUAUGUUGCCAAGUAGUGCAGAGCUUUUGGUUCUGCAAGUGCACUAAACUUUUUUGAUCAGUUCUAAUAGCGACCUGUUGAAUUCUCAGAAAAGCUCUCCAUUGUUCCACAACUAACAGAACUGCCAUAUACUCCUUGUGGGGUAUUGAUAGAGCUCUGUUUUUACGACCCAAUGACUUGUUGAGAUAAGCUAGCUAGAGGGGUGCCAUCUUGCAUUAGCACAACUCCAAUACCUAUAUCACAAGCAUAUGCUUCUAUCAAAAGGCUUGUCAAAGUUUGGUAAAGACAGGAUCGAGGUUGCAAUGAAUGCCCAAUUUGGAAUGCAUCUUUAGUGAUGGUGGUCCAGACAAAAGGAACUCCCUUCUUCAGUAAUUCACUCAAAGGUUUGAUAAUGAGGCCAUAGUGUUGUAUAAAUUUUUUGCAAUAACUAGUGAGCCGUGAGAAUCCUCUCACUUCCUUACACAUUUUGUAGAGUAGUCCAACUCUCCAUUGUUUGACUUUUACUUGGGUCUGUAACCACUCCUUGAGAACUAAUAGCAUGAAACAAAUAAGCUAUUUGCAUCUAUGCAAAAGCACACUAAUAUAGUUUGACCUUCCAAUGCUCUGCUCGCAUAAUAGACAACACUUCCUUAACAUGUAAAAGAUGUUAAACAUAAGUUUUAUUGUAUAUGAAAAUAUCAUCAAAGAAAAUCAUGGUUGGCUUCCUAAGCACUAGAGCCAAGGUAUUGGUCAUCACCCCUUGGAAGGUACCAGGAGCUCUAGUGAGGCUAAAGUCCAUAACAGUAAACUCAUAAUGUCCAUUAUGUGUUUGGAAAUAAGUCUUAAAUUCUUCUCCUGGGGGCAGCCUAAUUAAACUAGCCUUGAGAUUCGGUUUGGAGAACCAAGCAACACCUAAUAGUUCAACCAAUAACUUGUCUAUAAUGGGCAAUGGAUACUUUCUCUUAACAGUUAUAGCCCUUAAGAGCACGUAAUCCACAACCAUCAUCCAUUCUCCUCCCUUCUUUUUGAAGGAAAUAUGCCCUAGAGGCAAUAAUAAAGUUAUUAUUUAUUUCAUUAUUUCAUGAUCAAUGUUUAUUAUUCAUGCUAGAAUUGUAUUAACCGGAAACUUAGUACAUGUGUGAAUACAUAGACAAAACAUAGUGUCCCUAGUAUGCCUCUACUUGACUAGCUCGUUAAUCAAAGAUGGUUAUGUUUCCUAACAAUAGACAUGUGUUGUCAUUUGAUGAAUGGGAUCACAUCAUUAGGAGAAUGAUGUGAUGGACAAGACCCAUCCUUUAGCUUAGCAUCAUGAUCGUUACAGUUUCAUUGUUGCUGCUUUCUUCACGACUUAUACAUGUUCCUCAGACUAUGAGAUUAUGCAACUCCCGAAUACCAGAGGAACACUUUGUGUGCUACCAAACGUCACAACGUAAAAGGGUGAUUAUACAGGUGCUCUACAGGUGUCUCUGAAGGUGUUUGUUGGGUUGGCAUAGAUCAAGAUUAGGAUUUGUCACACCGUGUUUCGGAGAGGUAUCUCUAGGCCCUCUCGGUAAUGCUCAUCUCUAUAAGCCUUGCAAGCAAUGUGACUAAUGAGUUAGUUGCGGGAUGAAGUAUUAUGGAACGAGUAAAGGGACUUGCCGGUAACGAGAUUGAACUAGGUAUGAUGAUACCCAUGAUCGAAUCUCGGGCAAGUAACAUACCGAUGACAAAGGGAACAACGUAUGUUGUUAUGCGGUUUGACCGAUAAAGAUCUUCGUAGAAUAUGUAGGAACCAAUACGAGCAUCCAGGUUCCACUAUUGGUUAUUGAUCGUAAGUGAGUCUCGGUCAUGUCUACAUAGUUCUCAACCCCGUAGGGUCCGCACGCUUAACGUUCGAUGGCGAUUGGUAUUAUCAGUUUAUGUGUUUUGAUGUACGGAAGGUAGUUUGGAGUCCCAGAUGUGAUCACGGACAUAACGAGGAGUCUCAAAAUGGUCAAGACAUGAAUAUUGAUAUAUUGGAAGGUUAUGUUUGGACACCGGAAUAGUUUCGGAUGACUUCGGGCAUUUACCGGAGUACCGGGAGGUUACUGGAACCCCCGGGGGGUCAAUGGGCCUUCAUGGGCCUUAGUGGAAAUAGAGGGCAGCAAUGGAGCUAUGGGGCGCGCCCCCCUAGGCCCAAACCAAAAUGGUUUAGGGCUUGGGGGGGGGGGCGGUGUCGGUGUCAAAACCGGCGGAUCUCGGGUAGGGGGUCCCGAUCUGUGCGUCUUAGGCUGAUGGUAACAGGAAGCAAGGGACACAAUGUUUACCCAGGUUCGGGCCCUCUCGAUGGAGGUAAAACCCUACUUCAUGCUUGAUUAAUAUUGAUGAUAUGAGUAGUACAAGAGUAGAUCUACCACGAGAUCGUAGAGGCUAAACCCUAGGAGCUAGCCUAUGAUGAUUAUGAUUGUAAUUGUGAUCGACCUUCUAAGGACCAACCUCUCCGGUUUAUAUAGACACCGGAGAGGGCUAGGGUUUACAUGGAGUCGGUUACAAGGAAGGAAAUACAAUAUCCGGAUCACCAAGCUUGUCUUCCACGCAAAGGAGAGUCCCAUCCGGACACGGGACGGAGUCUUGAGUCUUGUAUCUUCACGCUCCAAUAGUCCGGACGAUAAUAUAGUCCAGCUAUCCGGAUACCCCCUAAUCCAGGACUCCCUCAGUAGCCCCUGAACCAGACUUCAAUGACGAUGAGUCCGGCGCGCAGUUUUGUCUUUGGCAUUGCAAGGCGGGUUCCUUCUCCGAAUACUCCAAAGUAAUUAUCGAACACGUAGACCGUGUUCGGAUCUUCAAAAUGGUCUUCACAUACCACCGUAGAGAAAAUUAUAUUUCACAAACGUAAUCUGCUGACCACGUGACAUGUCAUUACGGUCGGGUCAUUAUUCGAACAGUUUUCCCACAACCAGCCAUAGCGCAUAUCACGAGGCGGUAUCUUCUGCAUGUUUUGCCAUAGCAGAGAUCGUGUCCCCUUAUUAUGGGAUUCUCAUCAAUACGGGCAUGGGUAAUCCAACCGCACCGCUAAUCGCGGCGAGUGGGGAACGAGCGGGUUCCACCAGGCAAGUGGGGAGGUGCAAAAAGCUCUUACCGUCUAUGUAAAGAGAUAAGGUCUCUUCCUCUUUACCCACGCCUUCUCCUUCCGCUAGUCCAUUCCCCUCUGUUCGAGUUCUAGCGCCCAAGCACUCUUCUUCUCCAUCGAAGAGAGGUUUUCCCAAGAUAUCCGGAUCCGGAGCAGGAGGCAAAUGGAUGGCCUCUACCGUCCAGGAGAAGGAUAUCAAGAGGCUCCGGGAGGCCGGGUAUCUGGCCAAGAAGAUCGGCCACCGUCUCCCACCGGCGGGACAGGUCGUCCCUACUCCGGAGCCUCAUGAGAGAGUCGUGUUCCUUCCCCAUUUUGUCCGUGGGCUCGGGUUUCCCCUUCACCCAUUUGUUUGUGUUGUCAUGUAUUACUAUGGGAUUGAUUUUCAUGAUCUUUCCCCCAAUUCUUUCCUCAAUAUCUCGACGUUCAUCGUCGUGUGCGAGGCUUUUCUCCGGAUUUCACCUCACUUCGGCCUGUGGCUGAAGAUUUUCAAUGUGAAGCCCAAGGUGGUGAGUGGCGAGCACGCCGAGUGCGGCGGCGCCAUGGUGAGCAAGAUGGCCAAGGUCGUUUGGCCGAUGGGUGCCUUCAACGACUCCGUCAAGGAGUGCCAGCAGUGGUUCUAUAUCACCGAACCACGCGGCAAAAAGUGGGCUGCAGCCCUUGAGUUCAGAUCUGGAGCCCCACUGCGGCUCACGUCCUGGACCAAGAAGGGCCCGAGCUAGUCUUCGUCCCAUGAGCUGUCACUGCUCCAGACGCGCGUUCAGAGUGUGGUCGACAAGGACGUCAAGCUCGUCGACGUAGUCCAGGUGAUGUUAGUUUGCCUGGUUCUCCCUUGCCAGCGCCGAGCCUGCAAUUUGUGGGAGUACGACCCAACCGAGCACCAAACCCUUCCGGAGCUCUAUGAUUCCUCCCACGAGGAUACCUGGAAGGUGCUCUUUAAGUCCGGCAAAUCAUGGCCGGGCUCCGCCGAGGACCGUGGGUAUCAAUUAUCCCAUUCUGCAAGCCAGGUAAGUUAUAGCCGUGCUCCGUCCAUCCAUGCUUCAAUUGGCAUGUCCUGAGGGAGACAUCUUUAUCGUGCUUCAUCGUGACCCCAGGGACGGAUAAAGAAGGUGGAGCGAAUACAUUGUCCGGCCCCGCUUCCGGAGGAACCGGCCGGACCUCUUCCGACGAAGAUGCUGGUCCCUGCGCCUUACGAGGCGCCAAAGAAAGAGGCCUCCAAGAAGGUCAAAAAGACCCGGAGUGGCCUCCAUCGCCGCGAGGCUCCGGAUGCAAAAUCCGAAGACUCUAGCGACGCUCCUUCUUCCGAAGAUGAAGAGGAGGAAGCAGAGGAGGACGAGCCUCACUCUGGAGGUGGAAAGAAAAGGACGGCCUCCUCAUCCCUAGAGGCCGAAUCGUCCAAGAGGGGGAAAGGCUCCCUCCGAGAGGCAUCCACCACGGCUGCCGAUAGCAGUCCGGAGUGGGAUCCCAGGGCCCAGCCCCUGGAAAAGUCGUAAGUAUACGAAAUCCGAACAUGCAUAUGCAUCCGGGGCCUUUCGGGUAUAGUAGUUUUAACUGUCGCUAUAUUACAGCCCGGCGAGGUCUCGUGCCGGACAGUCCUCAUCGGAGGAUUCGCUGAGCUCAGACGCUUUGGCGAGCGAGACGCCUCCAGCGGCCCCUUCCCCAAAGUCCAGGCGCGACACUGAGGUGUCGUCUCAACGGGAUCCGGACAAGGGGGGCAUAUCUCUGGAGCCGGACACACGGGAGUGGUGGCCCCCAGGCAUGUCAACGGCGGGGUCGAUCUCGGGUCCGGACCUCAACCGGACACGGUCCUGGAGACUUUUAAGACUCCAGGAUCAGGUGAGCAGCCACCUUUGACGGGGGGAGGCUUGCCUACUCCGCCGGCAACCUCUAUCCAAGCAGAGCUGCCUGGCGGUCUAUCGACGGUGUUAAGGAGCACAUCUAUCGUCAAUGAACAUCGGACCCUCAGUGCGGUGAUUGAGAAGAUUCAGUCCGUCGAGAGCGGGCUGAAUGAGUCCUGCCUUGGCCUUAUAAAGGCCUUUGAGGUAUGUUUUCUAAGAAACCUUUGAGGAAUUGUCAUAAUAUGAGUAGUAGCCCCUGAUGCAUUGUCUGGCGAAAGGGAGAAAAAGCUGGAUAGGGGAUCAAAUCAUAUGCUUUUGCAGGAGCCGUUGUUAAUGAUGUAUAUCCCUUUGUCUGAAAACAGGCGUCUGCAGAGAAGACCGUCGCUCAUAAUGCGGAGGUGUUCGGACUGAAGCAGAGCCUGGAACGGGCCGAAGAGGAACUUGGCCGUGUGAAGAAGCAAUUGGAGGACAAGCAAGGUAUGUUGAAACAUUGUCUUGAAUUCGGCACGAAUGAGUAAUUGUGCCUGAUGAAAAGUAUUUGUAUUGUAUGCUCUAGGAGCGAGUGCCGAAUUUGAGGUGCUGAAGAAGGCUGUGGCCGAAGCCAACGAGAAGGCCGCCGCCGAACAGGCUCUUCGUGAGAAACACGAGGCCAGGGUCAUCGCAGCUGAGCGAGAGCUUCAGGAGGCUGUGAAGAAAAGCGAGGGCUUGGAGCAGAGUCUAGUAGGGAAAGAAUCCAAACUCGCCCAAGCUCUCCAAGCUGCGGAGGAUGCUCGGGAAGAAGCCCGAGGUGCUGUGCGGGACAUUCAGGAGGCCCAGAAAGUUGCGGCUGGUAAGGCCUUUUGUAUUCAUGGCCAUUUUUACAUGAUAGUGGGGAGAACUCUAAGUGACAAGCUGAAUUCUUGUUUUUCCAGGGGCGUUUGCGGAUCUGCCUCGCAACAUAUCAGAUGCCGCCCAAUUCUACCAGACCGAGGAGAAGAAGUCUGCGGAGAGGAGUUUCUGGUCGUAGUAUUUGGCGCCGAACUAUCCGGUGCCCUUUAUCGAUCAGCUAAAGCAGCUGGUCGAACUGCACCAGGCGGCCGAACUAGCCAUGAAGGACUUGGUUGUCCGGCUGUGGCCCGCGGAGCCAAUUCCAAGCAGUUACUUCGGACUCGUGAAGCGGAUUGUGGGCGCCUGUCCUCGGCUUGAUGCCGUUAAGUGAUCGGUCUGUAUAGAGGGUGCGUGUAUGGCGUUUGCCCAUGCAAAAGUGCAUUGGGGGAAGCUUGACGCGGAGAAGCUGAUGACUGAGGGGCAGCCAGAGGGUAAAGAGCACCGCAAGCCCGAGCUGUACUAUGAAGGUGUACUGAAGGGAGCCCGCCUUGUGGUGGAUAAGUGCACCAAAGACAUUAUAUUUCCCUGAGGGCAUUCGUGUCGUUCCUUGUAAUAUGGGAUAAUGGCACUUUUAUUAUUUAUUGCCUAUUUGUUUGAACAUUUGUUCUUCCUGUGCGGCUGUUUAGUGUGUGUAAAUCCUGAGAGUUGGCCAGUCGUCGGCUUCUGCCCCCACGAAAGAAAUACGGGGGUGUUCGGGACAUACCUGAACACUCUUUAUCCCAUGGCUGAGUCCUUUUAAGGAGGUGUUCCUCACCACGAACAGGGCAAUCAGACUAUAGGGCUUUAUCACUCUCACUUAGCCAUAGGAAUUCAAGUAUGAUCGGCGUAGCCCCUAGUGUUCGGAAGGCCGAACUAGGGGCUCUAUUGGCGCCUGAUCGGAAGACCGAUCCGUCGCACUCUGCAUUUAUAAUGGUGUUAUGCGGAUAAAUCUUUAAGGAUUUUACAACCUCUCGAACAGCUGACGAGCUCUCGUUGUAUCAUUACAGUCAGUUUUCGGCUUUCUCUACUGAGGUGCUCGUCCGGCAGAACCGGGACACAAUCGCAGUAGCUCUCCCAGCGCUACCUUAGCCGAUGGGACGGAACGUAAGGUACCAAAACAUGGGAGCCGGGCAAACCCAACCAAUGACCCAAGACAUGAUUCGGAGCUGAUGCAUAUAGUGCUAUAAGUUCGGGGUGCCGAGCGACCGAAAAGGUGGUUGGAUUUUAUUGCCAUACUAUGAAGCCCCUGGUAUAAUCAGGCGUAACACGAGGCGUGGCUGCCGUUUUUUUACAACGAGGCAUCGAUGAGAAACGACGGCCGGUAAGUGUUAUUUAAGUCUACGCAUUGUAGUAGGAUGAUAUGUCUAUGCAUAUGAGUACGAUUUAUGAUUAUGAAAAGAGGUGUUUUUGGCGGAACCUGUGAUGGCCGGACUGGAGGGGACUGUGAGNNNNNNNNNNNNNNNNNNNNNNNNNNNNNNNNNNNNNNNNNNNNNNNNNNNNNNNNNNNNNNNNNNNNNNNNNNNNNNNNNNNNNNNNNNNNNNNNNNNNNNNNNNNNNNNNNNNNNNNNNNNNNNNNNNNNNNNNNNNNNNNNNNNNNNNNNNNNNNNNNNNNNNNNNNNNNNNNNNNNNNNNNNNNNNNNNNNNNNNNNNNNNNNNNNNNNNNNNNNNNNNNNNNNNNNNNNNNNNNNNNNNNNNNNNNNNNNNNNNNNNNNNNNNNNNNNNNNNNNNNNNNNNNNNCAUGUUCCUGCCCUUGUGUGUCCGGGCGGAUUCCACAUUGCCAAUCCUGUUCUGUGUCAAAGUUAGUUUGUAAAGGCAAAUACUUGGAGGCAGCCGAACGUCCUCUUGUGGUUGGUCCGAGGGUUCCUGAUCGGACCCUAGUUAACCCAGCCAUUAUACCUUGAAGUAGCGCGUACUCCUCAGUUGGUGUCCGGAUAGUUGGCUGUCAUAUCAAAAAUUUGAUAGGCAUGCACGACUUGCUGCUCCAGCAGCUGUAUGAUUUCCGCUCUAAGGGCGGGGUUCGACCUUGCCCAUAGGUGUGAUUAUAUCACACGGUGUUGGCCUGCUGGUUUACCACGUGGAAUCUAGUCAACGUGGUUCAUCCCGUUAGCAUAUGGGAAAUUACCGUAUGAGGGGAAGGUGCCGAAGAAUUAUUCUUUGGCGUAGCCUUUUUUGGUGAUCCGAAGACAACCAUUAGAGUGGUGGGCCAAUAAAAAUUGGCCUUUGUACCUGGCAUAUUUUAGAAGAUGUUAUUUGUGGUUUCAUACACGCGGGGGCUUUAUGCGUUAUGGAGCCCCCGGACUACUAGGUCUAGAGGUACUGCAAUUGAAUUGCUGUGGUUGAUGUUGUCCGAACGGUUGAUGUGUUCGGGAGAGAUCGGCCGUACUUUUAUGAUCUGGAAGAUCUUUUGAUUUUGCCGUUGUUGGACUCCUCCCCUUAUUGUUUUCGGCACACGACCGGCCGCUUUGCUUUGAGGAUCCGGCAUUCUCUAUUAGUGUGCUUGGCCGUCCUCCUAGGAGUACCAUGAAUUUCACAUGGUUGAUCGAGUAUGUUGCUCGGGCCGUGUAGGCUUGAGCUGUUCUUUGUCCGCUGACCGGACUGGGAGUUGCUGGAUUUGGCACCAACUUCCCUGACUUGACGUUUAUGACAAUUGCGCCGAGGCUUGAGGAUGCCUCUUCGUGUAUUCUUCGUAUUGUCUUGGACUGUUGUGGUGUGUUGACAUCGGGGUAUGUGCCUUGGGUUCUCCUACUUAGGUUGGGGUAGCGAAUUAUGCCAUGUGUGUCCUUUGUCGGGGCAGUCGAGUUUGUAUUUUUUGGUGGCCAGGACCUUGGUCCAUCUGUCCACGAGCAAAUCUUGGUCAGCUUUGAGCUGUUGUUGCUUCCUUUGCAGGCUCCUUGCCGUGGCCAUGAGUCGUCGCUUGAAGCGAACUUGCUCCAUUGGAUCUUCAGGCACGCCGAAUUUGUCAUUACUGAGGCCUACCUCGUCCUCGGAGGGGGGCAUAUAGUUGUCGCUCUCCAAGUAUCCCACCGUGGCCAGUCCGGCCUGCUUGAAGGCAGGCAGAUUAGGGUUGUAUUCAUCUUUGGAGCCAUCCGGAUUGUUUUCGUCUCCUAUGCCGGUAUUGCUGUGGCAGGGCUUGGAGCAGCAUUGACGACGCCCAUCCUUUGCUUUCUUCCUUGAGGGAUUAUCCUUCGUUGCCUCAUCGCCAUUGGUUUCCUUCNNNNNNNNNNNNNNNNNNNNNNNNNNNNNNNNNNNNNNNNNNNNNNNNNNNNNNNNNNNNNNNNNNNNNNNNNNNNNNNNNNNNNNNNNNNNNNNNNNNNNNNNNNNNNNNNNNNNNNNNNNNNNNNNNNNNNNNNNNNNNNNNNNNNNNNNNNNNNNNNNNNNNNNNNNNNNNNNNNNNNNNNNNNNNNNNNNNNNNNNNNNNNNNNNNNNNNNNNNNNNNNNNNNNNNNNNNNNNNNNNNNNNNNNNNNNNNNNNNNNNNNNNNNNNNNNNNNNNNNNNNNNNNNNNNNNNNNNNNNNNNNNNNNNNNNNNNNNNNNNNNNNNNNNNNNNNNNNNNNNNNNNNNNNNNNNNNNNNNNNNNNNNNNNNNNNNNNNNNNNNNNNNNNNNNNNNNNNNNNNNNNNNNNNNNNNNNNNNNNNNNNNNNNNNNNNNNNNNNNNNNNNNNNNNNNNNNNNNNNNNNNNNNNNNNNNNAUAUAUAGUAUGAGGAGGUGGCUGUCCAUCGCCUAGUGAGCGGUGGUUCAUGUUCUUCUCCUGCAUCGUCGUCCAUACCGUCGAUGUCUUUGGAGUCAAAGUCAAACACAUCGGUUAGAUCAUUGACCGUGGCAAUGAAGUGGGUGGUGGGUGGGCAACGAAUUCCUUCAUCGCCUACUUCCCACUUAAGCCGGACAUAGUUUGGCCGAGAGCCUCCUGACAAAGAGAGAGACUUUAACGAGUUCAGCAUGUCGCCAAAGGGCGAGUGCUGGAAGAUGGCGGUAAACUCCAUUACCGGAGCCCAGCCAGGCUCGGUGGGCUCGGGAGCACGCAGACUGGGACCUACAGCCGGAUACGAGUCCGGUGGUCCGGAGUCACAGGCUUCCGUAGAAGUGAGGCCUGUGUUUAGCUCUACCACCGAUGAGUGUGCAGCCUGCGGGGCAGGGUCCAUCCACCCGUCCUUGGGCCACGCAGUCUGCUUCGGAUUUAGGUCCGGGACUUCUGCAGGGGUACUAUCCCGAGCACUGUCCGACAGCAGGUCUAGGCCGUGCUCAUCGUGACCGCCCGACACUCCUGGCACAUGCCUGAUUCCGUCGAAGAUCAAGUCUCCACGGAUAUCGGCCGUGUAGUUCAGGUUUCCAAACCUGACCUGGUGGCCAGGGGCAUAGCUGUCGAUCUGCUCCAGAUGGCCAAGCGAAUUGGCCCGUAGUGUGAAGCCGCCGAACACGAAGAUCUGUCCGGGGAGAAAAAUUCCGCCCUGGACCGUGUUGUCGACGAUUGAAGGCGCCAUCAGGCCUUGCAGCAACGACAUAGAGGAACUCUCAAUGAAAGCACCAAUGUCGAUGUCAAAACCGGCGGAUCUCGGGUAGGGGGUCCCAUCUGUUCGUCUUAGGCUGAUGGUAACAGGAAGCAAGGGACACAAUGUUUACCCAGGUUCGGGCCCUCUCGAUGGAGGUAAAACCCUACUUCCUGCUUGAUUAAUAUUGAUGAUAUGAGUAGUACAAGAGUAGAUCUACCACGAGAUCGUAGAGGCUAAACCCUAGGAGCUAGCCUAUGAUGAUUAUGAUUGUAAUUUCGAUCGGCCUUCUAAGGACCAACCUCUCCGGUUUAUAUAGACACCGGAGAGGGCUAGGGUUUACAUGGAGUCGGUUACAAGGAAGGAAAUACAAAUCGCCAAGCUUGUCUUCCAUGCAAAGGAGAGUCCCAUCCAGACACGGGACGGAGUCUUGAAAGUGCUAGUAUCGACUAGAGGGGGGGGGGUGAAUAGGCAAUUUUUAGGAAAGUCUUCAAAACAUGAUAGUUUCGAAGACAAACAGCAGAAAUGACCUAAUUGAUAUGCAGCGAAAGAUAAAUUACAAUAAGCAAACCAUAGUCAAGUAUGCAAUGAUGUGAAAGCACAGGACUAAUAGCAGCUAAGUAGUAAGGAUCAGGAUGGAAGAUAGUAUGAAGCCAAUCAACAGUAGUAGUCAAGCAAUGAAGCCAAACAGGUACACAGAUAGGCAAUGACUUCACGAAGACAAACUUAAGUAAAUGAGGGGAGAGGAUAGAACUAGUCACUUGUUGAAGACACAUGAUUUGUUGGACCAGUUCCAGUUGCUGUGACAACUGUACGUCUGGUUAGGGAGGCUGAGAUUCAACUCAGAAGAUCGUGUCUUCACCUUAUUCCCCUUGAGCUAAGGACACACAGUCCUCGCCCAAUCACUCUGGUAAGACUUCAAGGUAGACUUCCAAACCUUCACAGACUUCGUUCACCGGCAAUCCACAAUGACUCUUGGAUGCUCAGAACGCGAUGCCUAACCGGCUGGAGGAUUCAUAGUCCUCAAGUGUAAUAAGUCUUCAGGUCACACAGACAGAAAUACUUCAGUGAUGCCUAACACUCUUUGGCUAUGGGUGUUUGGGCUUGGUCCUCGCAAGGAUUUCUCUCUCUCAAAGGCUUCGAGGUGGGUUGCUCUCAAACGACAAAAGCAGUGCACUAACUCUGAGCAGCCACCAAUUUAUGGUGUAGGGGGUGGGCUAUUUAUAGCCACUGGGCAACCCGACCUGAUAUGUCCAAAAUGACCCUGGGUCACUAAGGAACUGACACGUGUUCCAACGGUUAGAUUUCAAACACACACGACAACUUUACUUGGGCUACAAGCAAAGCUGACUCAUCCAGCUCUGGAUAAGAUUUUCUCUCAUUGUCUCGAAGACAUAGGAUUUGGGUUGAGCAUCACUUCAGUCAUUCUAACUUAGUUCACUUGGACCCCGCUUAAUAGUACGGUGGUUCCUAUGACUCAACAAAGAAAAAAAGGAAACAUCGAAACAACACAGUCUUCCGCUCCGUAGUCUUCACUCAAUGUCUUCUCAUGUCAUAGUCUUCAAUAUGAAUAUCUUCACAUACCACCAUUGUCUUCAAUGUCUUCAUACAUUUUUAGGGGUCAUCUCCGGUAGGUAAACCGAAUCAAUGAGGGACACUACCUGCGUUAUCCUGCAAUUCUCACAAACGCAUUAGUCCCUCAACUAACUUUGUCGUCAAUACUCCAAAACCAACUAGGGGUGGCACUAGAUGCACUUACAAUCUCCCCCUUUUUGGUGAUUGAUGACAAACUGGUUGAAGUUUUCAACGGGGAUAAAGUAUGUGAAAUUGUAAAGGAUGGGGUAUUGUCUUCAUAAGUAGCAAGGGCUCCCCCUGAAGAUGUGCAUAUAAGUAAUUUGCUUUUGGAAUGCAAAUGCACAUGGCAGGUCGUACUUGUGGAGAUCCUCUUCAACUUAUGAAGAUAAUUCAUCAUGCAUGAAAUGAUAUAGCAAGUAGAAUGACAUGCAUAAUGAAAAAAAUGGACGUCUGCAGAAUGAUCUAAGUGCGGAAGUUAUCAUCGCACAUGCGAAAUUUAUCAUCGCAUCACAGUAAAGCAAAUAAGUAGCAGACGACCAUCGAGUUUAAGUGUUACAACUCAAAGAACCAAAUGUUUCAAAAGCAAGAGUUGUAAGCACGAGGCAAAAUAUAAAGCAACCGCCCAUAUGAACCCGCUUGAAGACUAUCGAACUCAUAUGCUUCUCCCCCUUUUGUCAGUAAGGACCAAAAAGGUUUCAAGACAUAGAGCAUCUACUCGUCCUCAUGAGUAGGUGAAGUAGUAGGGUUUCGUUGUUGUUUGGCGGUGCAGACGUACUUGGUGCAGUGUCGAUGCGUGCAGAAGUAGGAGGCGGUGAAGUAGCAUCCUCUUCAUCAUCGAUCACUCUGGCAUUCAUAGUUGCCGCGGAGGAAGAAUAGUCAGAGUCUUCAAGGGAUGGAGUUUGACGUAGGACUGCAGUCCAUGGAGGAGUGGAGUCAAACUUGAAUCUUUCAGUGAAGCCAUCGUCUUGAAGAUCUGCUUUAGCACUAAGCAGCGUCAAACUCUUCCAUGAUCGCUGACAAGUCUCGUGAGCAACAAAUGCAUUCUUGGUGGCAAGAUUUCGAAUGCGAUUGACGUCCACCAAGAGGCUUUGCAUCUGUCUCUUGAGCCAAUAAUGAUGUUUAUCUUGUUUCUGAUGAAGUGCCACAAGAAGUUCUCUGUCAUUUAGAACACGAGAGCGCUUCUUAGGCCUUUGGGCAAUGGUGCUUUCAGUGGCUUCAGUUUGCGCACGAUGUGGCAGACGAGUAUUUCCAGCCAUUGGAUAGAUACGUGUUACUGCUUGAAUGCCUUCCAUGGACUGAGUGAAGCUUUGGUGAUCAACAUUUUGAAGACAAAGAGGCUCCUUGGCAGGCUCAGGGUAAUAUGGCUUCAACUGACAUAUCAACCUCUGGUAGAAAGAUCAGAUGAUUGCGAGCAGAGGGCUGAUAGUUGACAGAAGAGUGUCGCUUGAUGAGGCGCAUGACCCAUGGAGCAUAGAAUUUCAGGCCAAAAAGGUCAGAUCCAGACGCAGCAAGUUGCCUGAUGAAGAAUUCUUGGGAAUUGAAGCUGAUGCCAUUGAGGAUGUAAAAGACCAAUGUCUUCAUGGCUCCUUCAAGUUUAGCAGCUGAUGAAUGUCCUUUUAUAGUCCAUAGAGUUCGCCUGAUGAUGUGAUAUAUUGUGCAAGGCAGAUACUCAAGGUCAUCAACAAAGAACUCCAUUGGAUAUUCAGCGUCAGAUGGCAAAGGCUUCAUCAUGCUUAACAUCUGGCUCAUGUUGGGUUCAGGCUUAUGGAAGAUGCUCUCUAGUGCAUUGCGGUGUAGUUGACAGUCAGGUUCAUAGAGCUCUCUGGGAGUGGGUAGGCCUGUAAGCUCAAUGACAUCAAGAGCUUUGGCUUCAUGAUGAACGUUUCCAGUCAUCCACUCGAGAACCCAUGUCUUGAUGUCCCUGUUGUAGCCGCGAAUGUGGAGGGUAGCAUAGAAUUGAAGCAAGAGUUCCUCAUUCCAGUGUUCUUUGUCUGUCACAAAGUUGAGGAGACCGGCAUCAUGAAAACAGUCAAGUGCUUCUUCUAAGCACGACAGUCCAGCAAUGGCUUCAGUGUCGAGGCGCAUAUGAGGGAAAAUGCGCCCUUAAUCAUACAGAACGCAGGAGUAAUAGCUUCGCUGCUGAUAGCUCCAGAAACAAUCAGAUGAAAUCCUUGGCUUUGAGUAGGGGUUCUUGGCGCUGUCAAAGAAGGUAUUGUGGCUUUUGAAGCCAUUGGCAUUGAAGGACCCUGUAGAGUUUGCAGUACCUGGGAACCUUGGUAGUCUUGGCUUUGGUUUCUGGACCUGAGGCCUAUGCUCAACAUGAUAAUCAAAUUGAGGUCCAGAGGCAGUAGGCGGAGGAACCAGAAUGGGCCAUCGGAUAGUGGUUAGCUGACCAUGAUUGUAUGCUUGCUCAAUUGUAUAGGGCCUUGGAGGCGGAAUAGGAGCAGUGGCAACAACUGAGGCUUCAGGCUGCACAACAGGUGCUUCAGGAGCAGUUGCCUCAUUGGCUUCUGGCACACUGGUUGGAGCAAGCUCCACAUUAGCUUCAGCCAUGACUACGUCAUUGGCUUCACUUGCGUUGGUGGUGGCAGCUUCAGGAUUUUCAACCUCCACUUGACGAGCUGGAGGGUCGGGCAUUGGCACGUUCACAUCAGGAAUAGCUUCUUCAAUAACGGGGGGAGUAGGGACACGUACAUCUUCUUGUCUUUCAUUGGCUGAUGCAGCCGGAUUGUCUUCAGCAGCUUGGGCUUCAGACACGGAGACAUUCACAGUUGGAGUGGCUUCAGGAAACACUUGACGUGCAACAGGUUGGUGAUGCACUUCUCCUUCUGGAACGCUCGAAAGAGCGACUUGAGACCUUUGUCCUUUGCGAAGCCUGCGAAAUGCUGGCAAUGCCUUUGGAGAUGGAGUUGGCUGGGCCUCAAAGUCUUCUUCUUCUUCUUGCACGGGUGGUGUAACUUGUGGUUGUUGUUGGGAAGUACUUGGGGAGUCUUGUUAUUGUGGGUGAUCAGCCCACGAUGCAUCCUGAGCAAUUGGCGUCGGAGGACGACCAAUGCUGAUGAGUUCGCUGUUCGUGAGAACAGGCGAUGAUACCACAUUGUGUUUGAUCUGAGGAAGAACUUCAUCAUCUUCAACAUUGUCAUCUUGACCAAUGUAUUCAGCAGCGGUGGGUUCAGCUGCUAGAAUGUCUUCAGCUUCAUGAGCCUCUAUGGAAGCAGGCUCAUGAACUAUCAUCCGUCGUUCUUGAUGUUCAGAUGCAGGGCGAACCACUGAGAUAGGUUCAACUACUAAUGGCUCUGUGGGAGCAGCCCUAUUCUUCUUGGUGUUGCGCUUCUUCUUGGAGGGAGCAGCAUCAGAGGCUUCAGGAUUUUUCCUUUUUCUGGCUUCAGCCUCGGCUUCCCUCGUCUUCUUCUGUUCUGAAGCGGUUGACAGGACCUUUGGCUUCGAGCCAGUCAUGCUGCUUGGGAAGAUAAUGCGAGGUGCUUCUUGACUUGAAGGUGCAGGUUGGGCAGUAGAGAGCUUCUUCUUCUUUGCAUCCAUUCUGGGGUCAAUGCCAGGACGAGCAAGAGACUUGCGCUUCUCAGCCUCAUUGUAGGCCAACACACAUUUGUCAGCCAAACUCUUCAUGCGCUCACGAGAGCCUUGGGCUUCUUCGCGCUUCUUGAGAAAGGCUUCUUUAAGCUCAUGCAGCAUGACCUUGAGGUUUCUGACAUCUUGCACACUGAGCUUUGCCACAUGCUUCUUGAACUGAGCCUUUUCAUAGUCAAUCUUGUUCUUCAGCUCAACGAUGCGCUGAGCGAGAGCUAGCUCAGAAGCAAUGGCGCCAUUGAAAGAGACGCUGAGGCCAAUGGGAAGCUGCAGAUCUUCAAAGCUGAGAUUUGGUGUGUCAAACCACUCAUCAAUGAAGUUAUGGAUGAUUGCCACAUCGAAGAGAGGCAAGUUAUUGAAGAUCUCUGCUUCUUCCUUGCUCUUUAUCAGUUGCUCAAGGGCAUCAUCUGCAAGAUCUUCAUCGCUGGACAUAUCAAUGGGUUCUUCUCGCAGAAUGGCAGCAGGAGUCAGGGUUUGAUCAGUAUGCUUGACGAUUUGCUUUUUCUUCUCCGUCCUCUUGGAGAUACGUGAUUGAUCUUCAGACUGCACACUGUCUUCAGGAGGUGCAGUGGCCAGCGGCUUCGCACCUGAAGCUUUUGGAGCAGCUGAUCUUGAAGCCUUAGGCUUCUUUAGCUUCUGCGGCUUUGGAGGAGGAGCUGGGGCUUCAUCAAUGCCAGCAUCAUUAUCAGAAUGAUCUACUCUGGCACCUUGGACCAAGAUGUAGGUGACGAGGCCAUCAAGGUUGGAGAAGGGGCCGAUGACAUUGGGUUCUGCAUCACGUGAGCCGUUCGCACGGGGAGCAGAGGGACCAGGGUUGAAGUCUAAUCCUAAUGACUUCUUGUUUUCCUUGGCCGAAGCCUUUGCGUGCUGGAAGUUGCGCUUGAAGAGAGUAUCAUCACGAUGCCAGAGUAAUGAUGAGGGAUCGACAUUCUCAGGCUGAGGUCCUCGGACCAUGCAGGGAUAGAAACCCUGUGCAAUAGCUUCAGCUCUGUUCUUGGGUUGAAGGCCUCGAUAGAGAAUAUCACCCCAAGGACUUUUGAUAGCAUUCUUCUCUGCACAUUCCUUGGUCACGAACUUGUACUUGAACCAUUCUUCAGCCCAAUAGCGUCGAAUCCAUUGGAUUCGUGUCUUGCGCUGAUGAUAAUUCUCUUUAGGAUCUGUCUUGUAGAGUUCUGCGAGGUCAUCAGGCAGAUCUUUUGAUGUUCCCCCUCGAUGUUGUCUGCCACCCUUCCUUACUAAUUUCUCUGCAGCCAUGAACUUCAAACUGAAUGGCUUCAAUACGUUCAAAGGCUUCAAAGACUUACGCUUGCCUGUCAAACAGGAACUGGCUUCGGGAGAAUUAAUGUGAUGCUGUAAGUAUUCUUCAAACGAAUGCAAACUAUGAGAACCAAGGGAUUCUCCCACGGACAUGUACCUGUGACAACAUUAGAGAUGCGAGGGAAGGGGAAGAGGUCAUAUGCAUUCUCAGAAGAUUUUGAAGAUAAAUCAGUUUGAAGACAUUGACCUCAUGAUGCGAAGACAUUCACUUAUAUGUUGUGAGUUGGUUCCAGAUUUGUACGAAUCCGUGAAUAAGUACAAGUGAGGAAUCAAACUAGAUAUGAAAUUUAAGUGAAUAGACUAGGCAGUAUGAGAUGCAGACAGAAUAGAUCUAACAUUGUGUAGGCAGAAACCACUUUUGGUAGAUAGGAUGAAUCUUGAAGAUCAAAAAGACAGUAAAAAUAGAGUUAUAUUUACCACACGAAGAACUGCUAGAUGGGAUGAACAGGAGACCGAGUAGUUCAGUCCACCAUGCCCUAACUUGGCGACGGAGGACACCUAUGGCGACGGCGGAGAGGACGAUGUCCGCGGCCGGCGUGAGGACGGCGUCGGAGAAGUCGCGGCAGCUAAGCGCUUCGUCGCCGGCGUCGUCGAGAGCUAGCGGUGGUGCUAGGGUUUUAACGAGGUGGAGAGGUGGAAGAAGGAUUUCUUUACCGCAGGGGACAAGUAUUUAUAAGGAGGUGUGCGGCACAGUGCAAUUACGUAGGUGCCCCUGGCGGUUCACAUCUGAGGGGCACAUGGCAAGCAUGCAACAUACUCAGAGUUGUCCCACGUUCCCACGCCCGCCAGGCAUGUCGGAUGGUUGUUCCGGCUUCUCCGGAUUUCAACAAUAAGGAUGAGUUAUUUAAAACAGACUUAAUGUUUUUCUCUAUGCCUUCUGCUGACAAGGACGCAGAGAAGACAUUCGACAGUUUCAAUAGAAUGCAUAUGAUUUGGGCAGAUAGAGUUUGAGAUAGAAAGCAUAGAGAGGUUAGGGUCCGAUCACAUUCACUUAGUUCAAAAGAUUCAGCUAGAAGACAUAGCUAUAAGUGAAUGUUGUAGAGGACAAAACACUAAUAUANNNNNNNNNNNNNNNNNNNNNNNNNNNNNNNNNNNNNNNNNNNNNNNNNNNNNNNNNNNNNNNNNNNNNNNNNNNNNNNNNNNNNNNNNNNNNNNNNNNNNNNNNNNNNNNNNNNNNNNNNNNNNNNNNNNNNNNNNNNNNNNNNNNNNNNNNNNNNNNNNNNNNNNNNNNNNNNNNNNNNNNNNNNNNNNNNNNNNNNNNNNNNNNNNNNNNNNNNNNNNNNNNNNNNNNNNNNNNNNNNNNNNNNNNNNNNNNNNNNNNNNNNNNNNNNNNNNNNNNNNNNNNNNNNNNNNNNNNNNNNNNNNNNNNNNNNNNNNNNNNNNNNNNNNNNNNNNNNNNNNNNNNNNNNNNNNNNNNNNNNNNNNNNNNNNNNNNNNNNNNNNNNNNNNNNNNNNNNNNNNNNNNNNNNNNNNNNNNNNNNNNNNGCGAUCAAAUCAUCAUAGUGAAGAAAAUCAUGAAGAUAAAUUGGAACUGAAGACAAACCAAAUGUGAAGUCAUUGCAAAAAUAACGCCAUGAGUGAAACACUUCAAACAAAGAAAUUUGGUGGUGGCGUUACCCACCUUAUAGGAAGUAUUAGACCCAGACACGACGCACAAUUAUCGUGGCGCUCCGAAGUCAAAUUCCAUGUUAAUGUAUUCACACUCAGAAUGUAAGUCUUCAUUGAUUGAAGAUAUACUUUACUUAGUGUGUUCCACAUCUAAGUCAUCAACAUGCAUAAGUGUUAGGAUGUGUGCAUGAUCACAGGACAUUUGAGGAUUCCAAGAUAUUUAGCUCACAUCGUAACUUGCAAAACCUUUUCUCAUCCAAGGGCUUUGUGAAGAUAUCUGCCAGUUGCUCUUCAGUGUUGACGUGAAUGAUGUCAAUAUCUUUCUUCAUGACAUGAUCUCUGAGAAAGUGAUGACAAAUUUCAAUGUGCUUUGUCUUCGAGUGCUGGACUGGAUUAUUGGCUAUCUUGAUGGCACUUUCGUUGUCGCAGAAGAGAGGUACUUGUUUCAGAUUGAUGCCAUAGUCCUUGAGAGUUUGCUUCAUCCAUAGAAGCUGAGCGCAACAAGAUCCAGCAGCAAUGUAUUCAGAUUCAGCAGUUGAGAGUGAUACAUAGUUCUGCUUCUUUGAAGACCAACAGACAAGUGAUCGACCCAGAAAGUGGCAUGUGCCUGAUGUAGACUUGCGAUCCACCUUGUCACCAGCAUAAUCAGCAUCCGAGAAUCCAACCAAAUCAAAUUUUGAGCCCUUUGGAUACUAUAAUCCGGGUGUUGGGGUGUAAGCCAAAUACCGAAGAAUUCGCUUCACAGCUAAGUGAUGCGAUUCCUUUGGUGCCGCUUGGAAUCGAGCACACAUGCAAACACUAAGCAUAAUAUCUGGCCUAGAUGCACAUAGAUAAAGUAAAGAACCAAUCAUGGAGCGGUAUACCUUUUGAUCGAACUCUUUACCAUUGUCGUCGGGACCAAGAUGGUGUUUGGCUGGCAUUGGCGUCGUGUAACCUUUGCAGUCUUCCAUUCCAAACUUCUUCACACAAUCUUUGAGGUAUUUUUCUUGAGAUAUGAAGAUGCCAUUCCUUUGCUGACGAAUUUUAAGACCAAGGAAGAACUUCAGCUCACCCAUCAUGGACAUCUGAUAUUGCUCUUGCAUCAUGUAUCCAAACUCAUCAGUAUACUUCUGGUUGGUGCAACCGAAGAUUAUGUCAUCCACAUAUAUUUGGCACACAAACAGUUCACCAUCAUAUGUCUUCGUGAAGAGUGUGGGAUCGAGGGAUCCUGGUUUGAAGCCUUUGCUCUUCAGGAAGUCUUUGAUCGUAUCAUACCAAGUGCGAGGAGCUUGUUUGAGGCCAUACAGUGCUUUGUUUAGCUUGUACACCAUAUCAGGAUGUUUUGGAUCUUCAAAGCCAGGUGGUUGAGCUACAUAUACUUCUUCUUCAAUCUUGCCGUUGAGAAAUGCACUCUUCACAUCCAUUUGAUAUAGCAAGAUGUUGUGAUGAUUAGCGUAGGCUAGCAGUAUGCGAAUAGCUUCAAGCCUAGCCACAAGAGCAAAUGUUUCAUCAAAGUCAAUUCCUUCUACUUGAGUAUAUCCUUGAGCCACAAGACGUGCUUUGUUUCUGAUGACUUGACCAUGCUCAUCUUGCUUGUUUCGAUAUAUCCAUUUUGUGCCAAUAAUGUUAUGCUUGCGAGGGUCAGGUCGCUUGACAAGUUCCCAAACAUUGUUCAGCUUGAACUGUUGAAGUUCUUCUUGCAUAGCUUGAAUCCAUUCAGGUUCCAUAAAGGCUUCAACAACCUUCUUGGGUUCUGAUAUUGAUACAAACGAAAAGUGCCCACAAAAAUUUGCUAACUGUGUUGCUCUUGAGCGAGUAAGUGGACCAGGUGCAUUGAUGCUGUCAAUUAUAUUCUCAAUUUAUACUUCAUUUGCAACACGAGGAUGAACUGGACGAAGACUUUGCUCUUGCUGAUCAUUGUCAUCAUUGGGAGGAUUGUCUUCGGUCUGAGCAUUGUCUUCAGGUUGGUUAGGUGCAGAAAUGAUAAGUUCCUCUUCAGGCUGUGCUUCAGAAGGCAUGAUUUCACCAGUUCCCAUCAGCUUGAUAGAUUCGCUGGGCGGAGCUUCAUCUAGUGUACUUGGCAGGAGUUCUCUUUGUGAACCAUUUGUUUCAUCAAAUCACACAUCCACAGUUUCGACAAUUUUGUAGAGAUAGAGGUUGAAGACUCUGUAGGAGUGCGAGUCGUUUCCAUAGCCAAGCAUGAAGCCUUCAUGAGCCUUAGGUGCAAAUUUCGACUUGUGAUGGGGAUCCUUGAUCCAGCACCUAGCUCCAAAUACUCUGAAGUAACUGACAUUUGGCUUCUUGCCAGUAAGGAGCUCAUAGGAUGUUUUGUUCAGAAGCUUAUGGAUGUAAACACGGUUGAUGAUGUGACAUGCUGUAUCAAUAGCUUCAGGCCAGAACUUUCUUGGUGUCUUGUAUUCGUCGAGCAUUGUUUGAGCCAUCUCAAUGAGGGUUUUGUUCUUGCGCUCAAUGAUGCCAUUUUGCUAAGGUGUGUAUGGAGCAGAGAACUCAUGAGUGAUUCCCAUUGUAUCCAGAUAAAGAUCAAGUCUGGUGUUCUUGAAUUCAGUGCCAUUGUCACUUCUGAUAUGCUAGACCUUCACACCAUAAUUGUUCAUUGCUCGAUUGGCGAAGCGUCUGAAGACAUCUUGCACUUCAGUCUUGUAGAGAAUUAUAUGCACCCAUGUGUAUCUUGAGUAGUCAUCAACAAUGACGAAGCCAUAGAGACAAGUAGUUGUUGUGAGGGUGGAGUAGUGAGUAGGUCCAAAUAAGUCCAUGUGUAACAGCUCGAAGGGUUGAGAUGUUGUCAUGAUUGUCUUCGAGGGGUGCUUUGCCCUAGUCAUCUUUCCAGCCUCGCAGGCACCACACAAAUGAUCCUUCUUGAACUUGACAUCCUCGAUGCCUAUGACAUGCUUCUUAUUGACGAGUGAGUGUAAGUUCCUCAUGCCAGCAUGCCCCAGCCUUCGAUGCCAGAGCCAGCAUUCUGAAGCUUUUGUAAGAAGACAUACGGCAAGCUGUGGACCUGCUGAGAAAUCUACCAUGUAUAGAUCAUCUUUCCGAUACCCUUCAAAGACUAGAGACUUGUCAGAUUCCAUUAGUACAAGGCAACGAUAUUUUCCGAAUAGCACAAUCAUGUUUAGGUCACAAAGCAUUGAGACAGACAUUAAGUUGAAACCAAGGGAUUCAACAAGCAUCACUUUAUCCAUGUGUUGAUCCUUUGAGAUUGCAACUCUACCUAGAUCCAAUACCUUGCUUUUACCAGUGUCAGCAAAUGUGAUGUGACUCUUGUCGGAUGGACGUAAGGUUGAGUCCAUGAGAAGACUUCGAUCACCAGUCAUAUGAUUUGUGCAUCCGCUAUCCAUAAUCCAUUCUGAAGCUUUUGGUGACAUACCCUACAGUGCAGUUAGGAGGAUAGGCUUCACAAAGAGUGUUGUGAAGCAUAGGCAUUUGACACAUACAAGGAUUGUCACAGCUUAGAUCAAAGUUAGGACACAUAGUAUGACUGGUAAGCGAUUCAGAUGUGAAGUAUAUAGUAAGACAUUUUAUCAUGCGUCCUUAAUGUGUUUUAGGUCCCUAGCAAUAGCAUCGGAUGCCUUUGAUUGCAGGCUGGAGACCUUUCUCUGCAAAAGAAAGUUAAUUCUUCUUCGCCACCCACAUCUUCAAGGGUGGCUUAGAAGCAAUGAGUCUAAGUGCAGCAUCUGAGAAUUUUGGCCUUUGAGCCCUAGCAAAUAGCCUUGCAGGAGAUGAAUGAUACUCAUAUGAAUAAGCGGAAAAGUUCUUAGUUCUAUGAACAUAGCGGUUUGAAGACACACACUCAUAUUUAUGAGUCUGAGUAUGAUUUCCUUGCAAAACAUUGGCGUUAGGGUGACUCAGGUGAGUCCUGUAUCUGUAUGAAGCCUUUGGGCCAUAUGAAAUCAUAGGUCUGGGGUUUGUCUUCUUCCUUGGUGGUGUCAUGACGACAUUCACAGGAAGAUUCUCAAUAUACUGCUUAGGUACCCAGAUCUUCUUCAUAGGUGGCCCAUUCCUGCAGUUAGUACCAAUAUACCUGGCAACCACUUCACCAUUCCGAUUCUUGAACAUCUUAUAGUUUGCAUCAAAGGAUUCAUCAAUGAUAAUAGGAUUAGCACAGGUAAAGCCAGAUAAGGUGGAUGGAUCUACUGAAGGUUCCUUUGCAGCAACCCAUGUGGUUUUGGGAUACUGCUCAGGCUUCCAGUAGGAGCCAUCAACAUUCAUUUUCCUCUCGAACCCAACACCCUCUUUCCUAGGGUUUCGGUUCAGAAUCUGCUUUUUGAGGACAUCACAGAGUGUCUGAUGUCCUUUCAGACUUUUAUACAUCCCUGUUUCAAGCAAUGUCUCCAACCUAGCAUUUUCAUCAGCAAUAGUAGUGGUAUCCUCCGCAGAGGGGUUAGUAACCACAUCAGUAGGUGAAGACAAUGAAACAGUAGCAGCAGUGGAACAUUCAGCAACAGAUGUAGCGUUAUCAUGCUCAAUGCAUUUUAGACAUGGUGGUUCAAAUCCAUCCUGAGCGGGACUGAUUUGUUGAGCAAGUAAUGAAUCAUGCUCCUUCUGAAGAUCUUCAUAAUCCACUCUUAUCUUUUCAAGAUCUUGCUUUCUUUGAAGACAUUCAGAAGAAAGCUUCUCGUGAUCAGACAAGAGAGCAUUAUGUUGAUCUUGAAGGGCAUCAAACUUGGAAUGAAGUCUCUGAAGACUCUCAGCCAAUGCUUUUGACUGAUCCAUUUCUUCACCCAACAUAUCAUCGCUCUUACUAAGCAUGUCUUGAACCCUUUCCAAGACUCUUUGUUGUUUGUGGCAAGGGAAGCAAGUUUGACAUAACUGGGGCCAAAUUCAUCACCUGACUCAUCAUCACUAGUUUCAGAGAGGUAGCAUUCAGUUACCUUAUCACCCCUUGCCAUGAGGCAUGAUGAAGAUGAUGAUGAUUCAGGUGCAAAGGUCAUCUCCUUAAGAGACUCCUUGUAGUCCUCAAACCAAGGAUCGUGACGAGUGCGAUGACCUUCAUAGACCUCAGAAAGCCGGUCCCAGAUUAGCUUCGCGUGAUUGAGGUGCAUAACAUUCCUGAACUGAUUUCGGGACAGAUGAGAGCAUAUGACAUCCUUUGCCGUAAGGUUCAGUAGAGUGUACUUGCGAAUGUCAUCGACCUCAGCCAUCUUGCAUAGAUCAGUGAGGCCAAUCUCAGUGACGGUCCAUAGUUCGCUAUCCAUUGCCAUGAGUCGCUUCUUCAUCAUGGCCUUCCAUGGGGAUACUCAUGACCGUCAAAGGUGGGGCAAGAUAUGUUCCUCAAUCCUGCAGUCGACAUAGCUGAAACUCCAGGUGGUUAAACCGAAUCACACAGAACAAGGGAGUACCUUGCUCUGAUACCAAUUGAAAGUGCUAGUAUCGACUAGAGGGGGGGGUGAAUAGGCGGUUUUUAAGAAAGUCUUCAAAACAUGAUAGUUUCGAAGACAAACAGCAGAAAUGACCUAAUUGAUAUGCAGCGGAAGAUAAAUUACAAUAAGCAAACCAUAGUCAAGUAUGCAAUGAUGUGAAAGCACAGGACUAAUAGCAGCUAAGUAGUAAGGAUCAGGAUGGAAGAUAGUAUGAAGCCAAUCAACAGUAGUAGUCAAGCAAUGAAGGCAAACAGGUACACACAUAGGCAAUGACUUCAUGAAGACAAACUUAAGUAAAUGAGGGGAGAGGAUAGAACCAGUCACUUGUUGAAGACACAGGAUUUGUUGGACCAAUUCUAGUUGCUGUGACAACUGUACGUCUGGUUAGGGAGGCUGAGAUUCAACUCAGAAGACCGUGUCUUCACCUUAUUCCCCUUGAGCUAAGGACACAUAGUCCUCGCCCAAUCACUCUAGUAAGUCUUCAAGGUAGACUUCCAAACCUUCACAGACUUCGUUCACCGGCAAUCCACAAUGACUCUUGGAUGCUCAGAACGCGACGCCUAACCGGCUGGAGGAUUCAUAGUCCUCAAGUGUAAUAAGUCUUCAGGUCACACAGACAGAAAUACUUCAGUGAUGCCUAACACUCUUUGGCUAUGGGUGUUUGGGCUUGGUCCUCGCAAGGAUUUCUCUCUCUCAAAGGCUUCGAGGUGGGUUGCUCUCAAACGACAAAAGCAGUGCACUAACUCUGAGCAGCCACCAAUUUAUGGUGUAGGGGGUGGGCUAUUUAUAGCCACUGGGCAACCCGACCUGAUAUGUCCGAAAUGACCCUGGGUCACUAAGGAACUGACACAUGUUCCAAUGGUCAGAUUUCAAACACACACGACAACUUUACUUGGGCUACAAGCAAAGCUGACUCAUCCAGCUCUGGAUAAGAUUUGCUCUCAUUGUCUUCGCUCGAAGACAUAGGAUUUGGGUUGAGCAUCACUUCAGUCAUUCUGACUUAGUUCACUUGGACCCCACUUAAUGGUGCGGUGGUUCCUAUGACUCAACAAAGAAGAAAAGGAAACAUCAAAACAACACAGUCUUCGCGCUCCAUAGUCUUCACUCAAUGUCUUCUCAUGUCAUAGUCUUCAAUAUGAAUAUCUUCACAUACCACCAUUGUCUUCAAUGUCUUCAUACAUUUUAGGGGUCAUCUCCGGUAGGUAAACCGAAUCAAUGAGGUGUGUUAUCCUGCAAUUCUCACAAACGCAUUAGUCCCUCAACCAACUUUGUCGUCAAUACUCCAAAACCAACUAGGGGUGGCACUAGAUGCACUUACAAGUCUUGAGUCUUGUAUCUUCACGCUCCAAUAGUCCGGACGAUGUAUAUAGUCUGGCUGUCCUGAUACCCCCUAAUCCAGGACUCCCUCAGCCGGCCCCCUCUUUCCUUCUCCCCUCCUCCUCUUUCCUUCCCCUCCUAGUUGGACUAGGAAAGGGGGAACCUACUCCUAGUAGGUGUAGGAUUCCCCCCUUGGGGCGCAUCCUAUGAGGCUGUCGGCCCCCUCCCUUGCUCCUUUAUAUACAGGGGAGGGGGGCACCCCUAGGACACACAAGUUUACAAUUGUUUUAGCCGUGUGCGGUGCCCCCCUCCACAGAUUUCCACCUCGGUCAUAUGAUCGUAGUGCUUAGGCGAAGCCCUGCGCCAGUAACUUCAUCAUCACCGUCAACAUGCUGUCGUGCUGACGAAACUCUCCCUCGGCCUUAGCUAGAUCUAGAGUUCAUGGGACGUCACCGAGCUGAACGUGUGCAGAUCGCGGAGGUGUCAUGUCUUCGGUGCUAGGAUCGGUCGGAUCGUGAAGACGUAUGACUACAUCAACCGUGUUGUCAUAACGCUUCCACUUUGGGUCUCUGAGGGUACAUGGACACACUCUCCCCCUCGUUGCUAUGCAUCACUUAGAUAGAUCUUGUGUGAUCGUAGGAUUUUUUUUGAAAUUACUGUGUUCCCCAAUAGUGGCAUCUGAGCCAGGUCUAUGCAUAGAUGUUAUAUGCAUGAAUAGAACAUAAAGAGUUGUGGGCGAUAAUAGUCAUACUGCUUACCAGCAUGUCAUACUUUGAUUCGGCGGUAUUGUUGGAUGAAGCGGCUUAGACCGACAUUACGCGUACGCUUACGCGAGACUGGUUCUACCGACGUGCUUCGCACACAUGUGGCUAGUGAAUGUUUGUUUCUCCAACUUUAGUUGAAUCAAGUGUGGCUACGCCCGGUCCUUGUUGAAGGUUAAAACAACACACUUGACAAAGUAUCAUUGUGGUUUUGAUGCGUAGGUAAGAACAGUUCUUGCUAGAAGCCCGUAGCAGCCACGUAAAACUUGCAACAACAAAGUAGAGGACAUCUAACUUGUUUUUGCAGGGCUUGCUGUGAUGUGAUAUGGUCAGGGCAUGAUGUGAUAUAAAUUGUUGUAAGAGAUGAUCAUGUUUUGUAACAAAGUUAUCGGCAACUGGUAGGAGCCAUAUGGUUGCCGCUUUAUUGUAUGCAAUGCAAUCGCCAUGUAAUUGUUUUACUUUAUCACUAAGCGGUAGCGAUAGUCGUAGUAACAAUAGUUGGCGAGACGACAACGAUGCUACGAUGGAGAUCAAGGUGUCGCGCCGGUGACGAUGGAGAUCAUGACGAUGCUUCGGUGAUGGAGAUCAUGUGCACAAGAUGAUGAUGGCCAUAUCAUGUCACAUAUUUUGAUUGCAUGUGAGGUUUAUCUUUUAUGCAUCUUAUUUUGCUUAGUACGGUGGUAGCAUUAUAAGAUGAUCCCUUACUAAAUUUCAAGGUAUACGUGUUCUCCCUGAGUAUGCACUGAUGCGACAGUUCUUCGUGCUGAGACACCACGUGAUGAUCGGGUGUGAUAAGAUAGUGAUUGACAGAGUUCUCUAGUCACCAUCACCAAGUUACUGGAACUUCAUGAUGAACUAUAGUAUGCAAGGGAUGACGAAAAUGAUUCCCGAGCUCUUCGUGAUGCUAAAACCGACGAAGGUAGAAAUCAAGAAAGAGCAUCAAGUGUUGAUGAUUGACAAGACCACUAGUUUCAAGAAAAGGGCAAAGGGAAAGAAAGGGAACUUCAAGUAGAAUGGCAAGCAAGUUGUUACUCCAAUGAAGAAGCCCAAAGCUGGACCAAAGCCUGAAACUAAGUGCUUCUACUGCAAAGGAAAUGGUCACUGGAAGCGGAAAUGCCCUAAAUAUUUGGUGGAUAAGAAGGAUGGCAAAGUGAAUAAGGGUAUAUUUGAUAUACAGGUUAUUGAUGUGUACUUUACUAGUGUUUAUAGUAGCCCCUGGGUAUUUGAUACUUGUUCGGUUGCUAAGAUUAGCAACUCGAAAUAGGAGUUACAGAAUAAACAAAGACUAGUUGAGGGUGAAGCGAUGAUGUGUGUUGGAAGUGGUUCCAAGAUUGAUAUGAUCAUCAUCGCACACUCCCUAUACUUUUGAGAUUAGUGUUGAACCUAAAUAAAUGUUAUUUGGUGUUUGCGUUGAGCAUAAAUAUGAUUAGAUCAUGUUUAUUGUGAUACGAUUAUUCAUCUAAGACAGAGAAUUAAUUGUAAUUCUGUUUACAUGAAUAAAACCUUCUAUGGUCAUACACCCAAUGUUGAUGGCUUAUUGAAUCUUGAUCGUAGUGACACACAUAUUCAUAAUAUUGAUGCCAAAAGAUGCAAAGUUUAUAAUGGUAGUGCAACAUAUUUGUGGCACUGCCGUUUGGGUCAUAUCGGUGUGAAGCGCAUGAAGAAACUCCAUAAAGAUGGACUUUUGGAAUCACUUGAUUAUGAAUCAUUUGAUGCUUGCAGAACCGUGCCUUAUGGGCAAGAUGACUAAAACUCCAUUCUCCGGAAUAAUGGAACGAGCUAGUGACUUAUUAGAAAUAAUACAUACCAAUGUAUGCGGUCCAAUGAGUGUUGAUGCUCGUGGCGGGUAUCGUUAUUUUCUGACCUUCACAGAUGAUUUGAGCAGAUAUGGGUGUAUCUACUUAAUGAAACACAAGUCUGAAACAUUUGAAAAGUUCAAAGAAUUUCAGAGUGAAGUGGGGAAUCAUCGUAACAAGAAAAUAAAGUUUCUACGAUCUGAUCAUAGAGGAGAAUAUUUGAGGUACGAGUUUGGCCUUCAUUUAAAACAAUGUGGAAUAGUUUCACAGCUCACGCCACAUGGAACACCACAACGUAAUGGUGUGUCCGAACGUCGUAACCGCACUUUAUUGGAUAUGGUGCGAUCUAUGAUGUCUCUUAUCGGGUUACCACUAUCAUUUUGGGGUUACGCAUUAGAGACAGCUGCAUUCAAUUUAAAUAGGGCACCAUCAAAAUCCGUUGAGACGACGCCUUAUGAACUGUGGUUUGGCAAGAAACCAAAAUUGUCAUUUCCUAAAGUUUGGGGCUGCGAUGCUUGUGUGAAAAAGCUUCAACCUGAUAAGCUCGAACCCAAAUCGGAGAAAUGCGUCUUCAUAGGAUACCCAAAGGAAACCGUUGGGUACACCUUCUAUCAUAGAUCCGAAGGCAAUAUCGUUGCUAAGAAUGGGUCCUUUCUAGAGAAGGAAUUUCUCUCGAAAGAAGUGAGUGGGAGGAAAGUAGAACUUGAUGAGGUAAUUCUACCUUCUCCCGAAUUGGAAAGUAGUUCAUCACAGAAAUCAAUUCCAGUGAUUCCUACACCAAUCAGUGAGGAAGCUAAUGAUGAUGAUCAUGAAACUUCAGAUCAAGUUACUACAGAACCUCGUAGGUCUUCCAGAGUAUGGUCCGCACCAGAAUGGUACGGUAAUCCUAUUCUGGAAGUCAUGUUACUAGACCAUGAUGAACCUAUGAACUAUGAGGAAGCGAUGAUGAGCCCAGAUUCCGCGAAAUGUCUUGAGGCCAUGAAAUCUGAGAUGGAAUCCAUGUAUGAGGACAAAGUGUGGACUUUGGUGGACUUGUCCGAUGAGCGGCAAGCCAUUAAGAAUAAAUGGAUCUUCAAGAGGAAGACGGACACUGAUAGUAGUGUUACUAUCUACAAAGCUCGACUUGUUGCAAAAGGUUUUUUGACAAGUUCAAGGUGUUGGCUACAAUGAGAUUUUCUCAACUGUAGCGAUGCUUAAAUCCGUCUGAAUCAUGUUAGCAGUUGCCAUAUUUUAUGAAAUCUGGCAAAUGGAUGUCAAAACUACAUUCCUUAAAUAGAUAUUUCUUAAAGAAGAGUUGUAUAUGAUGCAACCAGAAGGUUUUGUCAAUCCUAAAGGUACUAACAAGGUGUGCAAGCUCCAGUGAUCCAUCUAUGGACUGGUGCAAGCAUCUCGGAGUUGGAAUAUACGCUUUGAUGAGUUGAUCAAAGCAUAUAGUUUUAUAUAGACUUGCAGUGAAGCCUGUAUUUACAAGAAAGUGAGUGGGAGCUCUGUAGCAUUUCUAAUAUUAUAUGUGGAUGACAUAUUGUCGAUUGGAAAUGAUAUAGAAUUUCUGGAUAACAUAAAGGGAUACUUGAAUAAUAUUUUUUCAAUGAAAUACCUCGGUGAAGCUGCUUACAUAUUGGGCAUCAAGAUCUAUAGAUAGAUCAAGACGCUUGAUAAGAUUUUUCAAUGAGUAAAUACCUUGACAAGUUUCUGAUAGAGUUCAAAAUGGAUCAGUCAAAGAAGAAGUUCUUGUCUGUAUUACAAGGUGUAAAGUUAAGUAUGACUCAAAGCUCGACCACGGCAGAAGAUAGAAAGAGAAUGAAAGUCAUUCCCUAUGCCACAGUCAUAGGUUCUAUAAAGUAUGCUAUGUUGUGUACCAGACCUAUUGUGUACCUUGCCAUGAGUUUGGCAAGGGGGUAGAAAAGUGAUCUAAGAGUAGAUCACUGGGCAGCGGUCAAAAUUAUCCUUAGUAAGGACUAAGGGAAUGUUUCUCGGUGAUGGGGGUGAUAAAGAGUUUGUCAUAAAAAAGGUUACGUCGAUGCAAGAUUUUACACCAAUCCAGAUGACUCUAAGUCUCAUUCUGGAUACAUAUUGAAAGUGGGAGCAAUUAGCUAGAGUAGCUCCAUACAGAGAAUUGUAGACAUAGAAUAUUUGCAAAAUACACACGGCUCUGAAUGUGACAGACCCGUUGACUAAACUUCUCUCAUAAGCAAAACAUGAUCACACCUUAGUAAUCUUUGGGUGUUAAUCACAUAGCAAUGUGAACUAGAUUAUUGAAUCUAGUAAACUCUUUGGGUGUUGGUCACAUGGCGAUGUGAACUAUGGGUGUUAAUCACAUACAGAUGUGAAUUAUUGGUGUUAAAUCACAUGGCGAUGUGAACUAGAUUAUUGACUCUAGUGCAAGUGGGAGACUGAAGGAAAUAUGCCCUAGAGGCAAUAAUAAAGUUAUUAUUUAUUUCCUUAUUUCAUGAUAAGUGUUUAUUAUUCAUGCUAUAAUUGUAUUAACCGAAAACUUAGUACAUGUAUGAAUACAUAGACAAAACAUAGUGUCCCUAGUAUGCCUCUACUUGACUAGCUCGUUAAUCAAAGAUGGUUAUGUUUCCUAACCAUAGACAUGUGUUGUCAUUUGAUGAAUGGGAUCACAUCAUUAGGAGAAUGAUGUGAUGGACAAGACCCAUCUGUUUGCUUAGCAUCAUGAUUGUUAUAGUUCCAUAGCUACUGCUUUCUUCAUGACUUAUACAUGUUCCUCAGACUAUGAGAUUAUGCAACUCCCGAAUACAGGAGGAACACUUUGUGUGCUACCAAACGUCACAACAUAAAAGGGUGAUUAUAAAGGUGCUCUACAGGUGUCUCCGAAGGUGUUUGUUGGGUUGUCAUAGAUCAAGAUUAGGAUUUGUCACUCUGUGUUUCGGAGAGGUAUAUCUGGGCCCUCUCAGUAAUGCUCAUCACUAUAAGCCUUGCAAGCAAUGUGACUAAUGAGUUAGUUGCAGGAUGAAGUAUUACGGAACGAGUAAAGAGACUUGCCAGUAACGAGAUUGAACUAGGUAUGAUGAUACCAACGAUUGAAUCUCGGGUAAGUAACAUACCGAUGACAAAGGGAACAACGUAUGUUGUUAUGCGGUUUGACCAAUAAAGAUCUUCGUAGAAUAUGUGGGAACCAAUAUGAGCAUAUAGGUUCCGCUAUUGGUUAUUGACCGGAAGUGAGUCUCGGUCAUUUCUACAUAGUUCUUGAACCCAUAGGGUCCGCACGCUUAACGUUCGAUGACGAUUGGUAUUAUGAGUUUAUGUAUUUUGAUGUACGUAAGGUAGUUCGGAGUCCCGGAUGUGAUCAUGGACAUGAUGAGGAGUCUCGAAAUGGUCGAGACAUGAAGAUUAUUAUAUUGGAAGGUUAUGUUUGGACACCGGAAUAGUUUCGGAUUAGUNNNNNNNNNNNNNNNNNNNNNNNNNNNNNNNNNNNNNNNNNNNNNNNNNNNNNNNNNNNNNNNNNNNNNNNNNNNNNNNNNNNNNNNNNNNNNNNNNNNNNNNNNNNNNNNNNNNNNNNNNNNNNNNNNNNNNNNNNNNNNNNNNNNNNNNNNNNNNNNNNNNNNNNNNNNNNNNNNNNNNNNNNNNNNNNNNNNNNNNNNNNNNNNNNNNNNNNNNNNNNNNNNNNNNNNNNNNNNNNNNNNNNNNNNNNNNNNGCCUUAGUGGAAAUAGAGGGCAGCAAGGGAGCUGUGGGCCCUCCUAGGCCCAAACCGAAUUGGUUUAGGGCUUGGGGGCCGGCCCCCUCUUUCCUUCUCCCCUCCUCCUCUUUCCUUCCCCUCCUAGUUGGACUAGGAAAGGGGGAACCUACUCCUAGUAGGAGUAGUAUUCCCCCUUGGGGCGCACCCUAUGAGGCCACCGGCCCCCUCCCCUUGAUCCCUUAUAUACGGGGGAGGGGGGCACCCCUAGGACACACAAGUUGACAAUUGUUUUAGCCGUGUGCGGUGCCCCCCUCCACAGAUUUCCACCUCGGUCAUAUCAUCGUAGUGCUUAGGUGAAGCCCUGCGCCGGUAACUUCAUCAUCACCGUCAACGCCGUCGUGCUGAUGAAAAUCUCCCUCGACCGCAGCUAGAUCUAGACUUCGUGGGACGUCACUGAGCUGAACAUGUGCAGAUCGCAGAGGUUCCGUACCUUCGGUGCUAGGAUCGAUCAGAUUGUGAAGACGUAUGACUACAUCAACCACGUUGUCAUAACGCUUUCGCUUUGGGUCUACAAGGGUACAUGGACACACUCUCCCCCUUGUUGCUAUGCAUCACCUAGAUAGAUCUUGCGUGAUCGUAGGAUUUUUUUGAAAUUACUGUGUUCCCCAACACUUUUAACUAUAUGAACAAGAGAAUACAAAGGGUUGGUACUGAUCAUGAUCAUUCCAGAUUUGAGCAACUAAUGAUUUUUUUCCAAUUCAUCCUUUAAAUGAGGAACUAUCAUGUAGGGUAUCAUGGAAAUAGGUCUAGCACUAGGAAUUAAAGGAAUAGUAUGGUCAUAAUUUCUUCUUGGUGGCAAUCCUUAUGGGAUAGCAAAUACUGUGGCAUCAUAUCUAGAAUUUGCUGCAUCUAUGGAGAAAAUAGGUGUAUGAUCUUCAACUUGUAGUGUAGAUAUUGAAACAUAAGUGAGUGCAAAAUCUUCUAGCAGCAAUUCUUGCAAUAAAACCAACUCACCCUUCCUGUAAAAUGGGAUCCACUUAUGCGCUCAGUCUACAUGCAUCGAGAGCCAAUCCAAACCAAGUAUGUCAUCACAAGUACUAAGUCGUAGUAAUCUCAAACCAGAAGAAAAAUUAUGUCCAUUGCACUUCCAAGAGCAAGAAGGUAAUUUGUGAUGAUACUUAGUUGUAGUUCCUCUUACAACAAUGACUAAAACAAGCAUAGUGACUGUAACUUCAAUUAGUAAUUUGAUGUUCGGGAAAUCGUUAACUCACUACUGUUGGAUGCUGCUAACGCGACACUACAAUAAGGGACCAUUUGACGAAACUAUGUGCAAUGCAUUGAUCGCAAAAGAUGAUGUAAAAAAUGUCAAAAAAGAUGCAAAACAUUUGCGAUGGCGGAUACAUCAAACACGGUUCAUAUUCUAAAUACGUGUGCGAUGUGUGACAUACGGUUAAUCAAAAGAACUGUUUGCGAUGAGAUAGAACAACAGUAACGAGCAGCUAUAUCAAGGUGUGUGUGAUACACGACAUACAGUUCACUCGGCUGAACUGUUUCUUAUUAGGGAAUGCAACAAAAAUGGUCAGCCUGAUCAGGGUGUGCGAUAUACGACAUACGGUUCACUUGGACGAAUUGUUUUCGAUUAGGGAACACAACAGAAAUAGUUCAGUUUAACAAGAUGUGUGUGAUAUGCGGCAUACAGUUCACAUAGAUGAACUAUUUGCAAUUAGCCAAAAAAACACAAACGAUUUGUGUAAACAAGAUGUGUGUGUUACACGGCAAACAUCCCACUCGGAUGAACCGUGUGCAAUGAGAAAAUAUAACACAUACUGUUACUACAGUCAAUUCGUGUGCGAUUCUGUGUGUAGAAAAAACUAACAGAGCGUGCGCGGAGGGACGCGACCUGAGCGAGCCUUGGCGCCUAAACGGCGAGCAGAGCGCGCCGCAGCCGCCUAAACGGCGAGCAAGAAGAUGAAUAAUUAUUGCAUAUAGCAUAUAACAUAGCUGGGAAUAGUCGUCCAACAAUAUUAUUUUCGAUGACAAGCAUUAAUAUAUUCUUAGUUAAAUCUAAGGUCAAAGUUUGGUACUAAAAAAUACGAAGGGGGCCAAUAAACCAUGAAGGAGGCAGUACCUAUACGAACACAGACGCCUGAUGCAUAAAUAAAUGAUGUUAUACACAUGCCCCGCAAUCGACGCCAAUGCUUCCCGCCUCUUCCCUCAUCGGUUUCCCGCCACCAGCAAGUGGCUUGCUCCAUAUGACCCAGGCAGCAAUGCACUGUAGCGACAUUGUGCAUAGAUAUAGUCCACACACAUCUACCAUUAGUUAUGCCAAGCAUGGCAGGCACCGACGAAAGCUUUGACAUCGACCCCUUCAUGCAUUACAUCUUCGACAAGGAGAACGAGCCGGAGCAGGCCGGGGAGCAAGAGCUUCAUCGACCAGUGCAGGCGCCAUGGCCCAUCGGCAAUGAUAUCGCAGUGCCAGUCCAUCGGUAGAGGAAAUGUGAUGAGCAGUUUGCCAUCCACCGUGCAAAAGAUCCAGAGCUGCUCGGCAGCAUGAUCGACGACCCACCCGAAGAGCCGCCAUCACCGGUGCUCAUUGAGAGCCUGAUGCCCCGCAAGGAAUGGGCAGAGGACCUCUGUGAUUCAGUUAUGAGAUAGCCAUCCUGCGGCUUCAUCAUUCCUGGCGGCGGUCAUCUCAACCUCGAUCUCGAUGAUGUGGUGGCUAGUCUCGAGCGCAUCCUUGGCAGAGUUGACGUUCCCGACAAAGAAAACAUCGCCAAUGCGGUAUCUUGAGGAUGUAGGUGAUGGACAGAAUUUGCUACCAAGACAGAGACAUGGAAAUGGAGCGGUUCCAUGGAGAUUCCAUGUGGAAGAGGCCUGCUACUUCUUGAGCUUGCGUUGGUUUUUCCCUUGAAGAGGAAAGGGUGAUGCAGCAAAGUAGAGAUAAGUAUUUCCCUCAGUUUGAGAACCAAGGUAUCAAUCCAGUAGGAGACAACGCACAAAUCACCGAAGACCUGCAUAAACAAUCAAACAAACUUGCACCCAACGCGAUAAAGGGGUUGUCAAUCCCUUCACGGUUACUUGCAAAGGUGAGAUCUGAUAGAGAUAGAUAAACGAUAAAGUAAAUAUUUUUGGUUUAUAGAUCGGAAAGUAAAAGAUUGCAAGAAUAGUAGAUCGGAAACUAAUAUUGUAGAUCAAAACUUGUAUGAUGGAAAAGAGACCCGAGGGCCAUAGGUUUCACUAGAGGCUUCUCUCAAGAUAGAAAAUAAUACGGUGGGUGAACGAACUACUGCCGAGCAAUUGAUAGAAAAGCGCAAAGUUAUGACAAUAUCUAAGGCAAUGAUCAUGAAUAUAGGCAUCACGUCUGUUUCAAGUAGACUGAAACGAUUCUGCAUCUACUACUAUUACUCCACACAUCGACCGCUAUCCAUCAUGCAUCUAGAGUAUUAAGUUCAUAAAGAACAGAGUAACACAUUAAGUAAGAUGCCAUGAUUUAGAGGAAUUAACUCAAGCAAUAUGAUGAAAACCCCAUCUUUUUAUCCUCGUUGGCAACAAUACAAUACGUGCCUUGCUGCCCCUACUGUCACUGGGAAAGGACACCGCAAGAUUGAACCCAAAGCUAAGCACUUCUCCCAUUGCAAGAAGAACCAAUCUAGUUGGCCAAACCGAACCAAUAAUUCGAAGAGACUUACAAAUAUAUCAAAUCAUGCAUAUAAGAGGUAUCAUAUCGAAUAGAUCUCCAAGAACAUCGAAGAGAACAUGGUAUUAAGAAUUAAAGAGAGAGAAGAAGCCAUCUAGCUACUAGCUAUAUAUGGACCCGUAGGUCUGAGGUAAAGUACUCAUGCUUCAUCGGAAGGGCAAUGGUGUUGAUGUAGAAGCCCUCCAUGAUCGAAUCCCCCUCCGGCAGGACACCGGAAAAGGCCCCUAGAUGGGAUCUCACGGGUACAGAAGGUUGUGGCGGUGGAAAAGUGUUUUCAUGGAUGCCCCUGAUGGUUUUGGGGUAUAUGGUAUAUAUAGGCAAAGAAAUUUGGUCAGGAGACCCACGAGGGGCCCACAAGAUGACAGGGGGCUCGCCCUGUCGUGGUUCGACUGACAGUAGAAAGGGGGGUAGGUAUGGAGAGGCAAGAUCUCAGCUAUGGUGAAGAUGUACACACAAGAUUUACGAGUUGAGGCCCUUCUCGGAGGAAGUAAUAGCCCUACGUCUCGGUGCCCGGAGGCGGUCGACUGGAUUAUAUGUGUGUGAUGUUACAGGGGAUGCGAACCCUUGUCUCAGAGGAGGGGGGUGGCUUAUAUAGAGUGCGCCAAGACCCCAGCCAUCCUCUAUUACAAGGGACUUAAUGUACAUAAAGUAGGGGCGUUACUGAUAACGCCAGUCAUAAGUGUUAUUAAUGACCUUAAAGACUACAGAGUGAAUGUCCGACCGUUGCAAUGCUGAGUGACUCCUGGCCUUCAGUAGGUCGAGUGAUUCCUCAUAUGGUCGAGUGACAACAGGUAGGGGGACGCCCGAGUGAUAUGACUGGUUGAGUGGAUUGCACUCGACAUCUUUGACUGGGGGUUCUUUGUUGCCUCUUGGACUUCUUAACUUCUAGGGUAGUGACCUUGGGUAGGACGUAUAGGUCAGGCCUAUGACCCUACCCCGGGUCUGUAUCCUCGUCAGUAGCCCCCAAAUGGAUUAAGGUUCGAGUGGAAAGUAGGUUGAGAAGUUGAACUUAUUCCGAGCUUUGCACCUCGCGGGUGUUUUACGCAGGAUGGAAGGCUUACGUUGGUACUUCAGCGUAGAUUCAGUCGCCUUGAUCCAUUCAAAAAGUUGCCGACUGAACUUGUAGCAUCGUCUGCCGAGUGCUGUCUUGGGGUGCAGAAUCUUUGGCGCGAUUGAUAGCAGUGUAUCCCGAAUUUCACGGGAUACGAAAUUUCGGGGAAGCGCGCGGGAUGGGGCAUGCCGAAGUAAGCAGGGCGGAUAAACAGUAGUGCCUCGAAUUUCCGUGCCACCUUUUUCGCCACAUACGUUGCACGCGACUGUUGCGGGAUUUGAUAGGGUCGCCUUGUCCCGCUCAUCAGCCACUCGGAAGCGGCCCUUUAUAAGGCGACUGAGCCGAGGCACCUGCACUGUGCGCGUCUGUUUCUCUUUCUUCUUCCUCUGCUUCUUCACUGCAUCCAACUCCUCUGCUCUCGAUGCCGCCGCUCUGCCGCCAUGGUGAAGGACAAGACGGCGGUGCUGGAGCACGCGAAGAAGGCGACGGGGGCGACGAAAGGCAAGAAGCAGAAUCGCGGAUCAUCAUCGUGCUCGGGGCUGCCGCCAGGCUGGAUCCAAGGCGAUUGGAUCUGGUCUUCGCUCCAGCAAGAAGAUCUGGAUGAGCUGGUGGAGUCCUGGCUGAUCGCCAAGGGUGCAGCAAGGCUGCCUGAGGGGGAGAUGAAUCCGCAGCCUCGACCGGGUGAGUGUGUACUGCUCGCCACCCACGUCGACCGGGUUUUUUCACUUCCUCCGCACCCUUCUUCCGGGGCUUCCUGAACUUCUUCGGUGCCCAACUCCACCGUUUUUCUCCCAAUACCAUCACGUACCUUGCCGCAUUCAUGUCGAUGUGUGAAAACUUUUUGGGGUGUCAACCGCACUGGGGCCUUUUCAAACAUAUUUUCACCAUCCGUUCCCACUCGGUAAAGAAAGCGAAAACGAGUGACUCGAAGACCCAUGUCAUUCAGAUGUGUGGGGGUUUGGGUAUCCAAGAGAGGCAGAGGAGUUCUUUCCCUUCCAUGACUCUCCCUGAAUCGUUUAGGGGCUGGCAGUCGACCUGGUUCUACUGCCAGGACCUCCCAACUCCAGGUCAGUCGACCGGCCUUCCCCACUUCACUUUUGACCGAGUCCAGACUCCUUCCUCACUGAAAGUGACUGCUGCUGAGAACGUGGAGACAAAGAUGCUGGUUGAGAAAGUGGUCCAACUGAUUAAUGAGGGUGUCACUGGCAUGGACCUGCUGGAAGUAUUCCUCAAUCGACGCAUCCAGCCUCUUUAGGCCCGUGACCAUCCCAUGUGGCUGUACUCUGGGUCCGACGACACCGCUCGUGUUCAUCCAGAGGAAGUGCCAGCCAAGACCGUGGUCAUGUGGUUGAAGAGUAUUACAGGUAACCAGGACAACUGCAGAGGAGCCAGGAGAGUCAUCCCCUUCAGUGACGACAAUCAGCCCGACAAGGUAUGUUCUUUAUUCCGUCUGUCUUUGCAUACACAUUCCGACUAUACUUGAGCUCAACUGACUUUUACUCGACUUCUUGCCUUGUAGGUUUUUACUGACAUGUAUUCGAUGCCCAACGAUGAACAAGUUCUAGAGCAGGACCAGGAGGGAGAGGCCAGCGCGGAGGAGAGCGAUGAAUGGGAAUCUUCGGAUGAACACGAGGAGGAGGAGAGCGAGGAGUCAGACGACGAGGAAGCGUUCGACUCGCCGCCGCGCUCUGAACACCAAUCCAAGCAACACCUUGACCCUGCGAGCGGGCGUGGAAAGAAUGUGGCCUCAGGUACCCACACACACAGAAACGCACUCGGACGUCGACUCCGGAGCCGACAGAGAAGGUCACCAAGCAGCCCAAGGUUGCUCCUCCAAAGGCUCGGAAGACUUUGUCGAGGAUCAAGAUGGACGUCCCCGUCGCUUCAGGGUGAGUAUUUUUCUUGCAUUUAUCUAGGCUGACUGAAACUUUUGUUCUGACCAAAUGGAUCAUGUAUCUUUCUAGCCCAACCUCUGCUGCAAUUGACAUGGAUAUCGACAAAGCUCCAGGAGACAAGGAGACCGAUGAUGCGGCCACCUCCCGAGCUGGUAAGUCCGUUCGACCAGACUUCAUUUAGUCGAUUGAGUUGCCAGUCAGCUGAAUUUCCGAUGUUUUUCUCUCUCUGCAGUUCCGCGAGAUGUCGUUGUGCUUCCUCAUGAAGAAGAAGAAGAAGUGCCUCUACAGGAGAGGAGGAGGAGGAGAGGCGGUGGCUCAAGCAGGAGAAGGCUUGAAGUUCAAGUCCCUCAGUCAAUGUCGGUGCUUGAGGCGGUGGUCGAGCGUUCCAGAGAUCCGGUUCGGACCAACGUCACAUUCGCCAGCCCGCUAACGACUGAUCGUCCGUCGGGGUCGACUGCUCUGGCUCCUGCCGCUCCAGUGCAACUCCAAGCAUCUGACCCAGUAGCUGCUUUGGCCGCCUUGGAGCCAUCACUCUUUGCUGCAUAUCAGACCCCAGACGAUUCGCCAAGUGUAAGUGCAUCUAGUGCCCCUUAGUGAUUUUGGUGUAUUGAAGACUUAUAGGUUAAGGGACUAAUGUGUUUGUGAGUGUACACAGGUCUAUAAGUCUAUGAGGAGUUUGAUAUUUACAGAAAAAGUCGACCCCUAAAAAUGAAGUUCUUCGACUGAAGACUUUGAUAUUCUGAAGACUUUGAAAGUGAAGAAAUUGGUGUGACCUUGAAGACUUGGUAUUCAUUUGAGGAACAUGAAGCGUGAAGACUUUUGUUUCCGUAGUUUCAUUUUCUCUUUCUUGAGUCAUAGGAAACACCGUACUGUUAAAGGGGGUCGAGGAAAUACUAAGGAAAAAUUUCCAUGUGAUGCUCAACUCAAAAUCCUACACCUACCAAUCCCUUCGAGUGAAGCCUUUGGAAAUCUCAUACAGUUCAGUCACUUUCUUCAAUGAGAGAGACGAAGUUCUUCUGGUCGCUGAUGAAUUUGUUCUGACUGAGGAGUUAGGAAUUCGCCAGUGCGAAUUGCCUACACAGUGAGGAACAUGAUAGCCCUGAGGAAUUUGAGAGUCAAAUUUCCGACCGUUGCUGUGCUGCACGCCAGCUGUCCCAAAAUAUCCUAUCCACCUAACAGUCAUAUCAUUGAAGGGCAUUUAUGUCUUAUCAUGUCGGGCUGCUCCCUAGGCUAUAAAUAGCCGCCCCCUACAACCACUAGCUGGUUGGUUGCUCCGAGAGAACUUGACACUUGUCAUUUGAGAGCAACCCAUCCUCCAAGGACUUUGAGCGAAAAUCAUCAAGUGAGGAAAACCCAAAACCAAACCCCUACAAACCCAAAGUGAUUGAGCAUCAUUAAAGAAAUUGAUCCUGCAUGGAUCCGACGCUUGUUACCUUUGAAGACUGUGCUUCUUCCAGACGGUUAGGCGUCAUGGUCUAGAGCAUCCAAGAGGAAUUGUGGAUCGCCGAGUGACCAAGUCUGUGAAGGUUUGGAAGUCGCCUGAAGACUUACCACGAGUGAUUGGACGAGGUCUGUAUGACCUUAGUUCAAGGAGAAUAUAGUGAGGACUGGGUGUCCUGGGCUGCGUGCUCAGCGACUGGGUGUCCGGGACUGUGUGUCCUCGAGUUUAAAUACUCAGCCGCUCCAACCAGAUGUACAACUGAGACAACAGUUGGAACUGGUCUACCAAAUCAUUGUCUUCACCAACCUAACUAGUUCUAUUUCCUCAACCCUUUCAUUUCCUCAUUACUGUGUUGAGUGUUUGUUCAUAUCUGUGCUUGAAGACUUUGACUGAAAACUUUCUCAAUUUCCUCAGUUCAAUUUCUUCAGUCUGUUUGUCUUCAUCUUGUAUUAUCCUGUGAUUACGCUUUCUGUACUCUGUGCUAGUCUUCAUUUCAUCAUGAUGACCAUGCUUGUAUUCUGUUAUGCUUACCUCUGAUUACUUAUUCCGCUGCUAGUAGUUCUUCGCUAAGGAAUUUCCUCACCGGCAAAUUCCUUAGUGAAGAAUUCAUAAAAAUCGCCUAUUCACCCCCCUCUAGUCGAUAUAACGCACUUUCAAUUGGUAUCAGAGCAAGGUACUCCCUUGUUCUGUGUGAUUUUGGUUUAACCGCCUGGAGUUUUAGUUAUGUCGACCGCAGGUAUGAUCAAGGUCUCGGCUGGGUGUCCUACCUUUGAUGGGACGGACUACCCCUACUGGAAGAAGAAGAUGCGAAUGCAUCUUGAGGCAAUUGACAACGAUCUCUGGUAUGUUGUGGAAAAUGGUGUUCCCUCUGUCUCACCCUCACUGAACGCUACCGAUGUGAAGAGAUUCAAGCAACUCGAUUCUCAAGCGAAGAAUAUCAUAUGUGGUCAUCUGAGUAAAAGACAAUAUGGAAGAGUGAGUGCUUUGGAAACUGCUAAGCUUAUCUGGGAGAGGCUGUCCAAAGUGAAUGAAGGAGUCUCAACUCAGCGUGACUCUCGAGUUGAUGUUCUUCGGAAUCUCUUCAACCGCUUCAAAAGACUCGACAAUGAAAAUGUCCAACAAACCUUUGAUCGCCUCACUGACAUCUCAAAUGAGCUUCAAGCCCUCGGUGCCACUGACAUCAUUGACCAUGAGGUGGUGAAGAAACUGUUGAGAUCGCUUGAUUCCUCAUUUGAUACUCUGGGACUGAUGAUACAAGAACGGGCUGACUACAAGUCUCUUGAUCCUGCCGAUAUCCUUGAAAGGCUAAAUACUCACGAGUUCCAGCUUGCUGAAAAGGGAGAUCUCUAUGGUUCGAGCUAUGGCAAACCACGUGCCCUGAAGGCCAAGGCUGUGUUUGACUCUGAAUGUGAGGAUUCUGGUAGUAGCCUUGGUGAUCCUGAAGAAUUGAGCUAGGAGCUAGCACUGCUCGUGAAGAAAUUCCAGAAGUUCUCAAGACGUGGUCGCUUUGGAAAAUCCUCAAGAAGCAGUGAUUCCUCAUCGAGUGACUAUAAGAGAAGGCUGUGCCACAAAUGCAAGAAACCUGGUCACUAUAUUCCAGAUUGUCCUUAGUGGGAAAAGGAAUUGAGGAAGAAGAAAUACAAGGAUUACAAUUCUGAUGAUGCGAAGAAGAAGAAGAAAUCGUCAAAAUCUUCGUCAUCAAAAUCCUCAAAGUCUUCAUCUCACAAGAAGAGCAGCUCCAAGAAGGCUCGGGCAUUCAUUGGCAAGGAAAUGGACUCUGAAGCUGAAUCUGAGGAACAUGAGGAAGAGGAGGCGUCUGAAGAAUCCGAAUCUGGUGUGGCGAGUCUGGCCUUCGCUACUGCCUUCGUUAGCAAGUCCAUCUUCAACACUGAAGAAACUGACCCCACCGACAAGCCUGAUGAAGAUAAUGAUGACUACGCUCCCACCUAUUGCUUCAUGGCGAAAGGUGCAAAGGUACUCAAAUACACCUCCUCUGAAUCUAGUGAAAAUGAAUCUGAUGAGGAUCUCAAGCCCAGCUACUCUAAACUUGCUAAGAUUGCUGUAAAACAACAAAGGGCUUUUGAAAAGGUUCAAAACAUGCUAGACAAAAGUGAUGAUAUGUUGGGUGAAGAAAUGGAUCGCACUAAAGCCCUGACUGGAAAUCUUCAGAGACUUCAGUCUAGGUUUGAUAACCUUCAAAGUCAUCAUAACACUCUCUUAUCUGAUCAUGAGAAACUUUCUUAUGAAUUUCUUCAAAGAAAUCAAGAUCUUGAGAAGCUAAGAGUGAGUUAUGAAGAUCUUCAGAAGGAGCGCGAUUCAUUACUAGCUCAACAAAUCAGCGCUUCUCAGGAAGAAUUUGUUCCUUCAUGCUUAAAGUGCAUUAAACGUGAAUCUGCUAAUUCUUCACCUGAAUGUUCAAAUGCUUCAACUGUUACAAAUUCUUCACCUGCCUCUGCUAUCUCUAAUUCCUCAUUUGAGGACAUUGCUAGUAUCACUGACAAUGCAUGGCUGAAGGAAUUGUACAUGACAGGCAUGUACAAAAGCCUCAAAGGGCAUCAGACUCUCUAUGAUGUGCUUAAAAAGCAGAUCCUCAACAGAAACCCUAGGAAAGAGGGUAUUGCCUUUGAGAGGAAACUCAAUGUUGAUGGAACAUAUUGGAAGCCUGAGCAGUACCCCAAAACCUCAUGGGUUGCUGCAAAGGGACCUCCAGUUGAUCCAUCUAACUUAUCUGGCUUUACAUGUGAAUCUCCUCAUUCUUUUGAUGAGUCAUUUGACUCCAACUAUAAACUAUUCAAAAAUCAGAAUGGUGAAGUAUUUGCUAGAUAUGUUGGCACUAACUGCAGGAAUGGUUCUCCUAUGAAGAAAAUCUGGGUUCCCAAGAAGUGCCUCGAAAGUCUUCAGGUGAAUGUCCUCAUGACACCACCUGUGAAGAACAGGAACCCCAGAUCAACUUCUUCAUAUGGACCAAAUUCUUCAUAUGGAUCCAAGUCCUCAUACGGACCAAAUUCCUCACGUGGAUCAAAUUCCUCAAAAGGAUCAAAGUCCUCAUAUGAUUAUCAUUGUGCUAACAACUCUGUUUCGCAGGGUAGAGCUAAGGGCUAUGAAUAUGUGCAUUAUUCUUCAAACCAUUAUGUUCAUAAGUCCUCGAAGAAUUUCUCUGCUUAUUCAUAUGCUUACCCUAACCCCUCUUAUGUGAAACGAAAUGGUUUGGCCUCUAUGCCACCAUUCUCGUAUGGUGCUCGCAGAGUGAUGAACACUUUGCCACCCCUUCAGAUGUGGGUGGUGAAGAAAAAGAACUAAUCUCUUCUGCAGGGUCAGGUCUCCAGACAUGCUUUAACGUCUGAAGAAUUUGCUGGGGACCUGACAAAAUUGCCUGAAAGGACGCAUGCAAAUCAUGAUGAAAUGAACCUUCAUUUCACACGUCCUCAUACUGCUAUAUCUGUUUACUGAUUGAUGAAAUUCAUCCGAUGAACUUGAUAUCAUAUUCUUCACAAAUGAAGCAUAUGAGAUUGUAAGCUACACUAAUUCAUCUGCAGGAUGAUCAACCCAAAGCUACUGAGUGGGUCCUCGAUAGUGGAUGUAUGAAUCACAUGACUGGUGACAAGAAUCUAUUGAUGGAUGCUCCCUUAUCACCGUCACAUCUGAAGCAUAUCAUCUUUGCUGACAAAGGCAAAAGUCAGGUAUUGGGUCUUGGUAAGGUUGUAAUCUCUAAGGAUAAACACAUGGACAAAGUCAUGCUUGUCGAGUCCUUAGGAUACAACCUCAUGUCAGUCUCAAUGCUUUGUGAUCUUGAUAUGGUUGUUGUCUUUGGCAAGUAUCGCUGUGUUGUGAUUAUGGAAGCUGACAAUUCCAAAGUCUUCGAAGGCUUUAGUAGAGGAGAUCUGUAUAUUGUUGAUUUCUCUACAGGACCACAACCAGCCGUGUGUCUACUUGCAAAAGCUUCAGAAGGCUGGCUAUGGCAUCGACGACUUGGUCACGCAGGCAUGAGGAAUUCGCACACGCUUGCGAAGAAGAAGCAUGUCAUUGGCAUUGAGAAUGUCAAAUUCCUCAAGGAUCACUUAUGCGGAGCCUGUGAAGCUGGAAAAAUGACCAAGGCCAAGCAUCCAGCAAAGACUAUCAUGACCACUACUCGUCCAUUCGAAUUGCUUCACAUGGAUCUCUUCGGACCUAAUCAUUACUCAGCAGUCACUAAUGAUGCAUCUCUAUAUGGUUUUGUCAUUGUUGAUGAUUACUCUCGAUAUACAUGGGUACACAUUGUUACUUACAAACAUGAAGUGCAGGAAGUCUUCAAACGAUUUUCCUCGAGGGCUUCAACCAACUUUGGUGUGAAGAUCAAGCACAUCAGAAGUGACAAUGGAACUGAGUUCAAGAAUUCCGGUCUUGAUGGUUAUCUUGAUGAACUUGGUAUUACUCAUGAGUUAUCUGCUCCCUACACUCCUCAGCAAAAUGGCGUCGCGGAGCGCAAGAACAGAACUCUUUUUGAGAUGGCUCGCACUAUGCUUGAUGAAUACAAAACGCCUCAGCGAUUUUGGAUUGAUGCAAUUGAUACUGCGUGCCACAUCAUCAACAAAGUAUAUCUUCACAAAUUCUUCAAGAAGACGGCCUAUGAACUCCUCACUGACAAGAAACCCAAUGUGAGUUAUUUCAAAGUCUUCGGUGCUAAAUGUUGGAUUAGAGAUUCUCACCACAAUUCUAAAUUUGCACCGAAAGCACAUGAAGGUUUUAUGCUUGGUUACGGAAAGGACUCGCACACCUACAGAGUCUUCAACAUUGUUCUUCACAAGAUUGUUGACACUGUAGAUGUGCGGUUCGAUGAAACUAAUGGCUCGCAAAGAGAGCACCUACCUUCUAUGUUAGAUGAACCAGCACCUGAGGAUUCUAUCAAGUUCAAGGCAACUGAGGAUGUCAUUCCUACUGAAGAAUCUGCUGAAGAAAUCAUUCCAGUUCAUGAAGAACGUCGAGCUGAUGCACCUGAAGAAAAUGCUGAGGAAAAUGGUGCUGAAGAAAAUGCUGAUCAAACUCCUCAGCAACAACCAGCUCAUCCUCGCGUUGCAAAAGAAGUGCAAGUGGAGAAGAUCAUUGAUGACAUUAGAGCACCAGGUCCUCUCACACGCUCAAAAGCUUCACAUUUAUCUAACUUUUGUGGGCACUAUGCUUUUUUCUCUAUCACAGAGCCCACUAAGGUAGAUGAAGCAUUUUUGGAGCCGGAGUGGAUUCAGGCUAUGCAAGAAGAAUUACAUCAGUUCGAGCUCAACAAUGUCUGGGAACUGGUCAAACGUCCAGAUCCUCGCAAGCAUAAUAUCAUUGGCACAAAGUGGAUCUAUCGCGACAAGCAAGAUGAAAAUGGCCUUGUGGUGAGGAAUAAGGCACGACUGGUAGCUCAAGGCUACACACAGGUUGAAGGAAUUGAUUUUGAUGAAACUUUUGCACCUGUUGCUAGACUUGAGGCUAUUCGCAUAUUACUUGCUUAUGCUAACCAUCAUGAUAUCAUCUUAUAUCAAAUGGAUGUGAAAAGUGCAUUCCUCAAUGGUAAGCUUGAGGAAGAAGUAUAUGUUGCUCAACCCCCAGGUUUUGAAGAUCCAAAGAAUCCUGACAAAGUCUUCAGACUUAAUAAGGCCCUCUAUGGCCUCAAGCAAGCCCCUCGGGUGUGGUAUGAUACAUUGAAGGAAUUCUUCGUGAAGAAUGGCUUCACACCCGGUUCACUCGACCCUACUCUCUUUACUAAAUCUUAUGAUGGUGAACUGUUUGUGUGCCAAAUAUAUGUUGAUGAUAUUAUCUUUGGCUGUACUGACCAACGUUAUAGUGAUGAAUUUUCCUAUAUGAUGAGUGAAGAAUAUCAAAUGUCUAUGAUGGGAGAGUUGAAAUUCUUCUUAGGUCUUCAAAUUCGUUAACAGCGCAAUGGCAUAUUCAUAUCUCAAGAGAAAUACCUCAAAGAUGUACUGAGGAAAUUCGGCAUGCAAGAUUGCAAAGGCGUCAAAAUUCCUAUGCCCACAAAUGGCCAUCUAUGCACUGAUGAAAAUGGUAUUGACUUCGAUCACAAGGUAUACCGCUCCAUGAUUGGUUCUUUAUUGUACUUAUGUGCAUCUAGGCCAGAUAUAAUGCUUAGUGUUUGCAUGUGUGCCUGAUUUCAAGCUGCACCGAAGGAAUCACACCAUAAGGCUGUGAAGGAUAUUCUUCGAUAUCUAGCUCACACACCAACACUAGGAUUAUGGUACCCCAAGGGCUCUGCUUUUGAUCUCAUUGGAUAUUCUGACUCUGACUAUGCUGGUGAUCGUGUGGACCGCAAGUCAACAUCUGGCACUUGUCAUUUCCUCGGACGAUCUUUGGUCUGUUGGUCCUCGAAGAAACAGAACUGCGUAUCACUGUCUACUACGGAAGCUGAAUACAUUGCUGCUGGCUCUUGCUGUGCUCAACUGCUUUGGAUGAAGCAAACCCUCAAGGACUAUGGCAUCAACGUGAAGAAUGAGCCUCUCCUUUGCGACAGUGAGAGUGCCAUCAAGAUUGCUCACAACCCAGUUCAGCACUCGAAGACAAAGCACAUUCAGAUUCGUCAUCAUUUUCUUCGUGAUCAUGUGUUGAAGGGCGACAUCUC